rnacentral:lncRNA from 1 species
CUACAUUGCACCUGAACUUUUCUCCAGGAAUUUUGGUGAGAUCUCUUACAAGUCUGAUGUUUACAGUUAUGGAAUGAUGCUGUUAGAGAUGGUCGGAUGCAGAAAAAAUAACGAUCCUGCGGUUGAAAUUCAGAGCCAAAUAUAUUUCCCAGAGUGGAUUUACAAUAGAAUGAGGCAAGGACAAAAGCUCUGUUUCGAUUUUCAGGAAGAUGGGGAUGAGGGAAUUGCCAGAAAGCUUGCAAUUGUGGCACUUUGGUGCAUUCAAUGGAAUCCCACGGAGAGACCUUCCAUGCCAAUUGUAUUACAAAUGCUUGAAGCUGAUUUACAAUGCUUGGAGAUCCCUCCAAUGCCCUUUGUUUCUGCUGAUGUUGAGGCAGGUACAAUCAAUUGAUCUAGAUAGCAGAAGAUUACAAUUAAAAAGGGAUAUUGUUAAUUUGUUUCAAAUUUUCCCCGAUUAUAAGCUAAAUUAUUUAGUCCUUCUUGUUAUUGGAACGCUUGAAAACCACUAAAUUGAGUUUUUGUUUGACUGUGGUUGUUUUAUUUAUCGCUUAAAAUCUUUGAUGUUUUCGAAUGAUACAACAUUAAUACAACUAUGGAUGAAUUUUUUCAAUUUAUAAUAUUAUUGAGGAAAAAGGAUAAUUAUACCCUUAAGGUUUGAGAAAAUAAUUACAAAAACUCUCAAGUUUUUAAAAUGAGACAUCAAGACCCAUUUUUAAUCAUAAUACCCUUUGAAUUUAUUAAUUAGGAAAUUGACUUUGAAGUUUUUUAUUUAAUAAACAUUUAAUAUAAAUAUUAUAAUAUAUCUAGUAGACUAAUAAUAUUAAAUUAUUUUUUACAUUUAAAUUAAUAUAAAAAAUUUAAAUUAUUAUAUUUAUUUUAAUAAUAGAUUUGUAUCUGUUAUAAAGAUUUUAAAUAAAAUCUUUGGGUUGAAUUUUACAAUUAACAAAAUAUAUCCAUCUUAAUAAUAUUAAAAUUCUUUUUACAUAAUAUUCAAAAUAAUUUUGAUUUUAAUUAAUUAAUUUUAAUAUUAUAUUUCUAUUUAUUUUAAAAAUUACUUCAAUAUAAUAAAAUAAGUCAAAUAGAUUGUAAAAUAUAAAAUAUUUUUUAGAUAUUUUUCAAAUGUAUAUAUUAUUACAUUUAUUUUAAUGUCAUAAUUCUAUAGAUUAUAAAAUUUUAGAGUAAAUUUUUUAGAUUUAUAGAGUUAAAGAGUAUUAUAGCAAAAAAAAAAAGUGACCUUGCUGUCUUUUAUUGAAGAGUUGAGAGUUUUUAUAAUUAUUUUUUCAAAUAUUGGAGUGUAGGUGUCUUUUUUGCUAUUAUUUAUUAUACUCCGCUAUCCUUCUCUACUACAAUCAAUGCUACCUAAUUGCUGAUGAAUCUUUUGAUUAAUCAUUUAGUUUCAGAUAAGCAGCAAAGCGAGACUUCAAAAGUCUUCCAAAAUGUGCACCGUCGUCGCUGAUUCUGAAGUAGGCUCUUAGAAAUUUCAACUUGUCAAAUAGAUGAUUAUUAAUAACUGGACUUCUAAAUCUUAUUCCAUUUAUGGCAGAUUACAUACUGAAUGAAACACAAUAGAGCUCAUUACAGUGGCACAAAAUUAAUAUAAAAACAUUUGACAGCGAGGAAACCUCUGCACCUAUGAUACCUUCCCAUGCAAGCACAGGGUGCAUAAAGCAUACGAAAACUUUAGUCUAUUUUUAAAGACAUCAUUGAAAAAAAAAUUAAGCACAACUAUCACUGAAAGAGCAUUCCUUUAUUGAUAGGCUUAUAGUUCCCAAGGAGGGUAGUUGGCAGAAACUCCAUGAGCUAGGUUGCUUUAGAAAAGGCUCGCGGGAUCGAGUAUUUACAGAACAGAUGUGAUGUGUGCAGUCUUUAUUUCAAUAUUUAAGUCUCACAACAUCCUGCUAGAUCCUAAUUCCUUCCCCAAGGGCUCAGAUUUUGGCCCUUGCAAACUUUCAUCCGAAGGAAAAUGAUUUUGCUCCCAUCAGCGCCACAUGAGGAACAAUAUAUAUGUUAAAAUAUUACCUGAGCUAUGACUAAGGCGCUGUCGCUCCUCUGUGACAAAAGUUUCAGAAAUUUUAGAAGGGAGUAUUGACGAUUUGCAAAUGCCUCCAAAACCUUUCUCAUAUUCUUCUCGACAUAUAUCUGGAAGAGAGAUUGAAUCAAAUUCUUCAACAGAGUUGUUAAUGUAUGAAUUAGUGAAGGAAUGAUCUUUCGGUGAUAAAAUAAAUAAAUGAAUAACGUGCAAUUAAUGACAAAUGUUCUUCUUCUUCUCAUUGCUUUAUCUCGAAUUGGAGCCUAAUGUUGCAGACCGCCCAAUUCGCUAGCCUAAUUUGCUCACCAAGAGCCCAACACAAGGCCAAGAGUGCUAGCUUGACCCAAUUCCGGAAAGUUCUAGGCAAUUCUAGCACAUUGAGCUUGUAAAUACUCUAGAAUUCUCUAUACAAUUCCAGCACAUGUAAAUAGCUAGGAAGUGAAAGAAUUCUCUAGAAUCUCUAGAGCUUGGCAAGCCUCCCCUAUAAAUAUGGGAUGGCAUUAGCCAUUUGCAUUCAACAAACACAACAACAAGCAUUGAGCACUCAAGCAUUGUAAUCUCUCUUUUGUGCAAUACAAGUUUUCUUAUUCGGCUCCAUUGCUCUCUUCUCUAGUUCGAGAAGCUCAAGGCUUACUUAGCAAUAUUUGGCAAAGUUGUCUAAGUGCCGCACGGGUUAGCUGUGCAAAAUACUCAUCCCGUGACAAGUGGUAUCAGAGCUAAGGUUUGCACGUACACAAAUUAGCUCACGAGUAAUGACCAACCCUUCGAACGUAGCACAAGAGGGUGUUGUUGGUGUGAAUGUUCCACCGGAACCAAGCCGCGGCCGAGAGGGAGAACGCGCCCAAGGCAAGACUCGCGGCAAGUCCAAGGCCCCAUCCGUGGAUGCAUUGGAGCCUUGUGUAACCACUCUCGAAAUCACAUAGUCCACCGCUCAAGAUAGCCUCGAGGGAUUGGAGGAAAGAGUGGACGGCCUCGAGGGAGAAUACGCAGAGUUCACGGUGGCGACCAAAGCUCUCAUCCAAGAGCAAGCGAACACUUUCCGAGGUGAGUUUCGUUCUUUUCAUGAUGAGUUGCUCAAACUUCGUAGUUUUGUUCAGGAUAAACUACGCGCUAUCCGUGCGGAAGUAGAUGAAGUCCGAUCGGAUUGGGCAUGGCACAAGCGCACACUCUCCGCAAGUCCAGCUUCCGCAAACUCGAGUGAUGCGCGCCGCAUUGAUGCGCCAAAACCGGACACAUACGAUGGCACACGUAAUGCCACCAUCGUGGACAACUUCAUAUUUGGGCUUGAUCAAUACUUCGAUGUCAUAGGUGUACGAGAUGAGACAUCAAAAGUGGGCACUGCACCCAUCUAUCUUAGAGGCGUUGCACAACUAUGGUGGCGUCGCAAGCAUGGCAAGAUGAGCAAGGGAAUUUGCACCAUUGACACUUGGGCCGACUUCAAGCAAGAACUCUAAAAGCAGUUCGCCCCAAGCAAUGCGAAGAAGGAAGCGCGAGCGCGCUUAUGUCGCCUCAAGCAAUCCGGUAGCAUUCAGGACUACAUCAACGAGUUCACUACCCUCAUGUUGGAGAUAAGCGACAUGUCCGAUAAGGAUUCGCUCUUCUACUUCCAAGAUGGCCUCAAGGAUUGGGCCAAGAUCGAGCUUGAUAGGCGUGGUGUUCAAACACUUGAUGACACUAUCGCCGUUGUGGAAUCGCUCACCGAAUACUCUACCCAAUCCAAGGACAAAAAGGCCAACCAAGGAAAAGGUGGGGGAGAGAGUCGUAAGGACAAACGUAACAACCGCAAAGAUUGAGGGCAGAAAAAGCCGCCUAGCAACAAGAGCGGGCAAGGAAAAUCGGAGGGAAAGAAGGAGGCGCCAAAGCCGUGAAGCCCAUGGUUCAUAUGCAAUGGUCCUCAUUGGGUACGCGAUUGUCCGGAGAAGAAGUUGCUCAAUGCUCUUGCUACCCAACUCAAGAGCAACCCACAAUGUCCACGGAGGAACACCAACUCAGCAUGGGUUCUCUCCAACGCUUCGGCGCUCUUAAUCGCCAACAGCUCGCACUCAUCAAGAAAGGGCUCAUGUAUGUCAGCACAAAGAUAAAUGGCCAGUCCAUUCGCGCGCUGCUAGACACGGGAGUGACGCACAAUUUUGUGUCCGUAGACGAGGCCAAGCGCUUAAGCCUCAAGGCCACCAAGGAAGGAGGCACAAUGAAGGCAGUAAACUUACCCGUCAAGCCAAUUACGGGAAUUGCACAAGGCGUGCACAUCACACUCAGUACGUGGAGCGGAAAGCUUGACUUCUCCAUUGUGCCCAUGGACGACUUCAAGAUGGUCCUCGGCAUAGAAUUCUUCGACCAAGUCCAUGCCUUCCCGCUGCCCACUACGAACUCCCUAAGCAUCAUCGACGGGAGUAAGGCAUGCAUGGUUCCCACGGAAUGAGGCAAGUCCGAGGAGAAGACACUCUCCGCCAUGCAAUUCAAAAGGGCUUUCAAGAAGGACUCAAGUUUCUUGGUCUCAAUUUGGGAACUAAACGAAGAAGGAAAUAAUGGAACCUCGCUAAGCCAAGUCCCUCCGCGAGUUCAAGCCGUCCUUAAUGAGUACAAGGACGUGAUGCCUUCAGAACUUCCGAAAAAGCUCCUACCUCGACGAGAGGUAGAUCAUGCAAUCGAGCUAGAAUAAGGCGCGAAGCCACCAGCCUUGGCGCCCUACCACAUGGCGCCACCCAAACUUGAAGAGUUGAGGAGACAACUAAAAGACUUGCUAGACUCAGGCUACAUUCGCCCCUCAAAGGCCCCAUUCGGUGCACCGGUCAUCUUCCAAAAGAAAAAGGAUGGAUCGCUACGGAUGUGUAUCGACUAUAAAGCGCUCAACAAGAUCACCAUCAAGAACAAGUAUCUGAUUCCCUUGAUCGCGGACUUGUUCGACCAGCUUGGUAAAGCACAGUACUUCACCAAACUUGACUUGCGCUCUGGGUACUACCAAGUACGCAUCGCCAAGGGAGACGAACCGAAGAUAGCGUGCACAACAAGGUACGGGUCUUUCAAAUUUCUUGUGAUGCCUUUUGGCCUUACUAAUGCACCCGCCAUAUUUUACACGCUUAUGAACAAGGUGCUCCAACCAUUCCUCGACCACUUCGUGGUUGUGUACUUGGGCGACAUAGUGGUGUAUAGUACCACGCUCGAGGAGCAUGCCCAACAUUUGCGACAAGUCCUCCAAGUACUUCAAGAUAAUGAGCUCUUUCUCAAAUUGGAGAAGUGCUCAUUUGCCCAACAAGAGGUGGAGUUCCUUGGCCACAAGAUUGCGGGCGGGAAGAUUAUGAUGGAGAAUGCCACAGUGAAGGCCAUUCUCGAAUGGGAGCCUCUCUCGAAAGUGUCUGAGCUUCGCUCAUUCCUUGGAUUGGUGAAUUACUACCACCACUUCAUCAAAGGCUAUUCGGCCAAGGCGGCACCCUUAACGUAUAUACUCAAGAAAAACAGAACAUGACAUUGGUCCGAAGAGUGCCAACGCGCAUUCGAGGAGUUGAAGAAGGUAAUUUCGGAGGAACCUGUCCUCGCUCUUCCGGACCACACCAAGCCCGUCGAAGUUCAAACAGAUGCCUCGGAUUUCACCAUAGAUGGAGUCCUUAGCAGGAAGGCCACCACAUAGCGUUCGAAAGUCGAAAGCUAAACGACAUAGAACGCCGCUACACGGUGCAAGAGAAGGAGAUGACCGUAUUCAUACAUUGCUUGCAGGUGUGGCGACAUUACUUGCUUGACUCGCACUUCACGAUCAUAACAGACAAUGUGGCGACAAGCUACUUUCAAACCCAAAAGAAGUUGAGCUCAAAGCAAGCACAGUGGUAAGAUUUCCUUGCGGAAUUCGACUAUCGGCUCGAGUACAAACCGGGGAAAGCCAAUGUCGUUGCGGACACUCUAAGCCGUAAGGCGGAAUUGGCAACACUUAGUAUGAUACAACCAAAGUCCAACCUUGUCUCACACAUCAAGGAAGGCCUCCAACAAGAUCCGCUAACAAAAGAUUUGAUAGAGAAGAUGCUCGAGGGAAAGACAAGACGCUUUUGGCAAGAGGAAGGCAUCCUUCUCACCAAGGGAGAUCGGUUGUUCGUGCCAAGGUGGGGAAACUUGCGGAAGGAAGUAAUAAAGGAGUACCACGACUCAAAGUGGGCUGGUCACCCAGGAAUCGAGCGCACCACCGCACUAGUCCAAGCCUAGUAUUUUUGGCCGUACAUAAGGGAUGACAUCGAGGCAUACGUGCGAACUUGUCUUGUGUGACAACAAGACAAAGUAGAGCAUCAACUUCCAGCGGGGUUACUGGAGUCGCUACCACUCGCAACAAGGCCAUGGGAAAGUGUCUCCAUGGACUUCAUCACAUCGCUGCCCAAGUCCGAAGGUUGCGGAAGCAUCAUGGUCGUUGUCGAUCGAUAUAGCAAGUACACCACAUUCAUUGCCGCACCAAUCGAUUGCAAAGCGGACGAGGCAGCCCGCUUAUUCGUCAAGCACAUUGUGAAGCUUUGGGGAGUUUCAAGGAGCAUUGUGAGCGACCGAGACCCUCGGUUCACUGGGUAUUUUUGGACGGAGCUCUUCAAGAUGUUGGGGACCGAUCUCAAGUUCUCGACAAGCUACCACCCACAAAUGGAUGGGUAGACCGAGCGCAUUAAUGGCCUCCUCGAGAUGUACUUGAGGCAUUAUAUGAGCGCCCAUCAGCGGGAUUGGGCGAAGCUACUCGACAUCGCCUAAUUUUCUUAUAAUUUGCAGCGAAGUGAGGCUACGGGCAAGAGUCUGUUUGAGAUCAUCAUGGGAUUUCAGCCCAUGACCCCCAACGCCAUAGUCUCGACUUAUGGAGGGAAAAGCCCCGCGGUACACAAGCUCGCCCGCGAAUGGCAUGAGGAAGCGGACAUUACGCGAGCCUACCUUGACAAAGCCGCGAGGAAAACGAAGAAAUGGGCAGAUACAAGGAGACGGCAUGUUGAGUACAAGGAAGGUGAUCAAGUCGUGAUCAAGCUCCUACCCCAACAAUUCAAGACGUUGCGGAAAGUCCACAAGGGGUUAGUGGGGCAUUACGAAGGACCCUUCCGAAUUGUUCGACGUGUGGGCAACAUCUUGUUUCAACUCCAACUUUCGCCAAGACUCAAGAUCCAUCUGAUCUUCCAUGUGAGCCUUUUCAGGCCAUAUCACGAAGACAUAGAAGACCCAAGUCGCGGAGAAUCGAGGCGCACUCCAACCGCCGUUGUCACCGCGUUCGACAAAGAUGUGAACUACAUCAUUGCGGACCGCGUGGUUUCGAGGAGGGCGUGCCAGCACAUAGCGAGUACUUGGUGAAGUGGAAAAAUCUCCCCGAGAGCGAAGCCACUUAGGAACGUGAAGAUGAUUUGUGGUAAUUCGCUGAGCACAUCCAACACUUCAAGCAUGAGAGCACGACGAGGAUGCCAGGAGCUUAGGUGGGGGAGGAUGUUGCGGACUGCCCAAUUCGCUAGUCCAGUUUGCUCACCAAGAGUCCAACAUAAGGCCAAGAGUGCUAGCUUGACCCAAUUCCGGAAAGUUCUAGGCAAUUCUAGCACAUUGAGCUUGUAAAUACUCUAGAAUUCUCUAUACAAUUCCAGCACAUGUAAAUAGCUAGGAAGUGGUAGAAUUCUUUAGAAUCUCUAGAGCUUGGCAAGCCUCCCCUAUAAAUAUGGGAUGGCAUUAGGCAUUUACAUUCAACAAACACAACAACAAGCAUUGAGCACUCAAGCAUUGUAAUCUCUCUUUUGUGCAAUACAAGUUUUCUUAUUCGGCUCCAUUGCUCUCUUCUCUAGUUCGAAAAGUUCAAGGCUUACUCAGCAACAUUCGGCAAAGUUGUCUAAGGGCCACACAGGUUAGCUGCACAAAAUACUCAUCCCGUGACACUAAGGCACACACUUUUUGCAAGUGAUAGAUAAUUUAGUUGUUGAAAUCUUUUGAGUUGAUACAAAAAGUUUGAGAUUUGAAUCUGUCCAUAUGGGUGGCAAAAGAAUUUAACUAGAGGUGUCCUAAGCUUAACUUAAAACUCUGAGUUGACCACUUGGGCUUGUAGCCUAGUGGUGAACCAUUGCCCUUAAAGUUAAGCGUGACUAUAAGGCAAUGGUUCGAGUCUCCAAGGACUCAAAAACUCUCUCAAUUAAGCAUAAUUGUGUGGAGAUUACUUAUAACGUCUUUCUCCCUUGCAAAAUGCGAGUAGAGUAGAGACAUCCCUCCCCCGUGAGGGGUAUUUGGCUGGGCAUGUACUUCAUAGAAUAAAAAAUGUAAUAAUAUAAGUCUCAUGUAUAUAAUGACCUGCUGUCAUAGCAGUUGUAAAUAUCUCUGUGUAAUACAGUAACCUGUCGUAAAUAUCUCUGAGUAAUACAAUAACAUGAUGUUUAAUCAAUUAAAAAAAACCUCUGAGGUGGAAAUUUUCUUCAUUAUUUUACCCCCACAUUGAAAAGUAAUCACAAAAAAUCAGGUCAAUGGCUUCAUUUAGCUUAUUCUUUAUUAUUGUUUGCAAAUGUCAUGGAGGACUACUCUCUCGUGGGGUUGCCAUUGACUUAAAUAAAAUGCUUUUAAGCCAUACAAAAAUGAAUGGCUAUAUAUAUAUUUUUUUAUACAAUGGGGCCUAAUAAAGAUUAGGACAAAACAGAGUGGUGAAUAGUAUUUCCAUACAUAUCAUUACAUAACCAAUAUCCAAUACCCUCUGGUGGGUUAUCAAAAUCAUGAAAAGCGAGAGGUAAAGAUCCUGCCAACUUGGCCAUGAAAUCAGCAGCAAAAUUAACUUCCCGAUAUUUAAUAUUACACUAAAAAACAUCUCUCUUUCUCUGUUAAUCCAUGUCACUUUUUCUGAGUUCAAUAAUCUUCUUCCUUCUCUUCCUUACACAAAAGCCAAAACAGCGAUACAAAUAUUUAUGAACGUUGCCAACCAACAAAAUGACACAUACCAUAUCAGAUUCCCCCUUUAUAAUCAAAUUUAAAUGAUUAAGAUUGCUGAUGAUAACACAAACCUUACUAAGUUUAAUAAAUGAUUACAAUUUACACACGCACUCUUUAUAUUAUUAUACCCUGUAUUUGAACAACCAAAUGUGCUUUAUAAUAACCACUAAUAUAACAUUGAAACAAAAAAAAAAAUGUAAUAAAUAAAAUUAUCAUAUAUUUUAUAUAUCAAAGCAUGUUCUGUGUUCUCAUAAAAAAAUGAAUUAUUGUCUUCGAGUUUGUGGUGAGAAAUUAAAGUAGCGAGCGAAAGAUGUUGACUGGAUUGUUGCAUGCGUGGAAAUUGUUAAAAAAAUUGUCUCAAUUUGAAGGUUACUAAGAAAUUUCAGGUCAAGCUAGGGUCAUCAUCAUCGACGCAAACUUGCAAUCAAAACAUUUACUAAGAGUUGACUGACUUGUAAGAGUGUCCGGUGUCCCCUCUCGCAUGGAUGCUAAAGGUCUUGCGCUCAAACAAAUUCAAUUAAUAUGCUCUUUUAAACCUUUUCAAUUUCCUCACAUUUGUUUAUUAUUUAAAAAAAAAAGAUAAUACUAUUUUUGAACGAUUAAUUAUUGUUAUAAUACACGUGCUCGUUGUUAAGUAAUGAUGUAAAUGCGCACCCAAAACCUUGAAAAUGCAACCUUCUGUUUAAUUUAUUGAAAUUAAUCGUAUCCUGGGAUUGCACUAACAAAGAGGGGAGAAGAAUCAUCAAUUCUCUCAACUCUUCUGUUUUGUCUAUUGAUCUAUGUAUUCACCACUGAAACUGAAGCAAGAGAAGUACUUCAACAAACCUGUUCCUCUUCUUGUGGCGAUAUCAAAAUAUAAGCUACCAUUUUCGCCUAAAGGGAGAUCCAUCGGGAUGCGGUUAUCCUGAGUUCGAACUGUCCUGCCAGAGCAACCAAACCAUCCUAGAAUUAUUCAAUUCUGCGAUGUACUAUGUAAAGAGAAUUUCCUAUGACAAAAGCACAAUCAAUGUUGCCGAUGUUAACUUGGGCAAUGGAAGUUGCGGCCUUCCAUUCACAUCUUUUCCCAGAGAAAUCUUUCGCCUUAAAAAUAGUCGCUAUUUUUUUUUAUACCGAUCGGGUUUAUGCACUUGAUUAUUAUAAAUACCUGUACGCCUAUUUCGUGAAUUGCUCGAGGGAUCUCAUUGAUCAGGCUUUUAUAAGAGUUUCAUGUUUGAGUGGAGGAAAUCGAUCAAAUGUUUAUGUUAAUUACCAUGGCUCCUAUGUAUCAGAUUUUUCAGAGUCAUGCUCGUUCGUUUCAAUGGUUCCUGUACAUAAUGGGAAUGUGGAAAAUCCUUCUUAUGAAACCCUCCGAGAAUUUUUGGAGACAGGAUUCGAUCUUAGAUGGUCAGUUGGAUGCAGGAAUUGUUAUGCAGCGGCCGGUAGAGAAUGCAUUAGUACAGAUAGAACGGGAAAUAUUGAUUAUUUCGAUUCUAGCUCAAUUACAAACCGUAAGCUUAUGCUUAUAUGUGCUUAAAAAUAAAUGGAGACUCUUUUAUUUAAUGUUUUCAAUCUUAAUCUUUUACGUAUUUAAGAAUUUGUGGACAAUCUCUAAAAGAGAAUUUGUGGACAAUCUCUAAAAGAGUAUGUAUACCUGUUUGACCCUUAAUAUCUUUUUCUUUUGCACUUUUGCAGUCUUUGCAGGAUGCCGCAUCGCACAAGGAGUAUUCAGAAAAUUUAUUUGCUACCAACAACUUUUGACACGUAACAAGCCUAUUGUCACGGACCGCAAUCGUGGCACCCAAAUUAUGCGCUUGUACGCUAGUGUCGAUGAUGGUUGUGCUGAUUGUUGGAGACGUGCUUCAGGAAUGUGUGUGUGGGGAAUACAAUGCCCUAGACUCUUUGGAAUUCAGGCAGGCCGACCUGGUUGAGUUUGGGGAGCUUGUCGCUAGUCAAAAACUUAACGCUGAAAAGGGGUCUAGGAAAAUCUUGACACACACUGGUUGGGAACUGAGGUCGUUCUCCUGACGAGCCCAAGGCAGGGCGAAACCAGUCGACAUUGUGCCACUUCCUCUAGGCUUACUCUCGUAGUAUGGGAUGCGAGAGUGCCGCACGGGUUCGAAACCUCUCGUCCCGUGACAAAUGGUAUCAGAGCCGCGCUUGUCAUCUCGCGAAGCCCUCGUUGUGAGCUCGCCAAGCGCUCCAAUGCCGCACCUCGCAGGUCCCCACUCUUUCAGACACAAGGGUCGACAAGUGGGAUGAACAGGCAGGUUCUCACACCCCCAAGCAUUCGCACUAAGUGGAUAGUGUCUGCACGCGGGUCCUCUCCACGGAUCGAGGACGAGUAGGCAGGGAGUUCAUGGGUUGAGAUUGGCAAGCCGAUCUUCACGUUUUCGCACAGAAGUGCACACUUGCGAGGCGUACUCUUCAUGCACGAGGACGUGCAUGGUUAUGGCGGUGGGAGAAUGUCACGGACCGCAAUCGUGGCACCCAAGUUAUGCACUUAUACGCUAGUGUCGAUAAUGGUUGUGCUGAUUGUUAGAGACGUGCUUCAGGAAUGUGUGUGGGGAAUACAAUGCCCUAGACUCUUUGGAGUUUAGGCAGGCCGACCCGGUUGAGUUUGGGGAGCUUGUCGCUAGUCGAGGACUUAACGCUGAAAAGGGGUCUAGGAAAAUCCUGACGCACACUGGUUGGGAACUGAGGCUGUUCUCCUGACGAGCCCAAGGCAGGGUGAAACCAGUCGACAUUGUGCCACUUCCUCUAGGCUUACUCUCGUAGUAUGGGAUGCAGGAGUGCCGCACGGGUUCGAAACCUCUCAUCCCAUGACACUAUGCUUACAUAUCUUACAUCCUGCGUUUGUUUUUUUUGGUGUUAAAGUGAUGCCUUAUGUGAUUUGUUUAUUUAUUCUCCAAUCUUGUGCUUAAUGUAUAACUUUAAUUUCUGAAUCAUCUCUCUGAGUAUGUAUGUAUAAAGCCUAAUCUUUUUUCCUCGGCCUGCAGUUUCCUACAAACACCCGACGCCCCUCGAAUGGUUACUGUUAGGUAUGGUUUCCUGGCUGGAAUGCCUGUUCUUGUUAUUUCGAAUUCAGCUACUUACCUAGAAUUAAACUUCCUUGUUUCCAGACGGUGCAUUCGUGUAUCUUACAAUUACUCGGUUUAUCCUUGGUUCAACAGUCUUUCUCUUGUUCCUUAUCCACAAAUACAGAACGACGUUGAAAACAAUUGAUAAUAUUGAGAAAUUUCUGCAUACCCAGCAAUCAUGGAUGCCUAAAAGGUACUUUUACCCUGAGAUAAUUGCCAUGACAAACCACUUCACUCAUAAAUUAGGCCAAGGUGGCUUUGGUUCAGUUUAUAAAGGACAACUUCACACCGGUCGCUUGAUUGCUGUUAAGAUGCUGGAGAACUCCAAGUUCAGUGCGGAGGAAUUCAUCAAUGAAGUAUCAACAAUAGGUAGAAUUCACCACGUUAAUGUGGUCCAGUUAUUGGGGUUCUGUUCUGAGGGAUCCAAACGCGCACUUGUCUACGAGUUUAUGCCUAAUGGAUCACUCGAUAGGCAUAUCUUUCCUAAGGAAAGUAGAGGCCAAUCUUUUAGUUGGGAGAAACUCCACGAAGUUGCUUUAGGAACUGCCCGUGGGAUGGAGUAUUUACACAAUGGAUGUGAUGUCUGCAUUCCUCAUUUCGACAUUAAGCCUCACAACAUCCUGCUAGAUCAUAAUUUCAUCCCAAAGGUCUCAGAUUUCGGCCUUGCAAAGUUUCUUCCCAAGGAAAAUGAUUUUGUGUCCCUCAGUGCCACAAGAGGAACCAUAGGAUACAUAGCACCUGAGUUGAUUUCAAGGAAUUUUGGAACUGUUUCUUGCAAGUUAGAUGUUUACGGUUUUGGGAUGGUGUUGUUGGAAAUGGCUGGAGGAAGAAGGAAUUCCAAUAUGAAUGCAAGUCGUUCAAGCAAAGCAUAUUUCCCAUCUUGGGUAUAUGACCAAUUAAAUAAGGGAGGUGAUUUAGAGCUUCAGAAUGUUACUGAAAUUGAAUCCAUGAUAGCAAGGAAACUGUGUAUGAUUGGUUUGUGGUGUAUUCAGGUGAAGGCAGCAGAUUGCCUCUCUAUGACAAAAGUUUUAGAGAUGUUAGAAGGGAGUAUUGACGAUUUGCAAAUGCCUCCUAGACCUUUCUUCUCUUCUUGACAUAUCUCCGGAACUGGAAGAGAGAUUGAAUCAGAUUCUUCAGCAGAGUUGUUAGUGUCUGAAUCAAUGGAGGAAUGUUCUUUCAAUGAUAGUUUUGUUUAAUUUUUGCCAAGGAUGAAUGUAAAAUAAAUAAAUAAAUAAUAGAUUGCAAUGACAAAGGUUCUCUAUCUUCUUGUUGCUUUAUCUCGCAUUGAAACUUAAUGCAUAUAUUUGUGAGUGCAAGCUAGUUUAGUAGUUGAAAUCUCCUACUCAUAUAGGUGGCAAUAUGAUGUAAUUAGACGUGCGCUAUGCUUUAAAAAGAAAAUAAAAGUCUCUCGCAUUGAUUACAAACACUGGAUAGGAGUUGGAAAUUUUAUUCUGUAUUUUUAUCACACAUUGAAAAUUGAUCACAAAAAAACCAAGUAUACACCUUCAUUCAGCCUAUUCUUAUAAUUGGUGUCCACAAAUGUCAUGGAGGACUACUCUCUUGUGGGGCUGCCAUUGACUUAAAUAAAAUGCAUUUUAGCCAUCCAAAUUCCAAAAAUGAGUGUCAUUUGCUCUUUCACAUUAAGAAAUAUAUCCUCAACCAAGAAGGAAGAGAGAUUAAUAUUACACGAAAAAGCAUCCCUAUUUCUCAUUUUCUCCAUGUCACCUGUGCUUAGUUUAAUUCUCUUCCUUCUCUUUCCUUACACAGAAGCCAAAACUUCAGAAGGAAACAAUGAUACAAAUAUUUAUGAAUUUUGUCAGCCAACAACAUGCAGCACGAAGGGACCAAAUAUCAGAUUUCCCUUUAGACUCAAAACUCAACCUAUCUCUUGCGGUCUUGAAGGGUUUGAAUUAUCAUGCUUAAACACCAAGACAGUGUUGCACCUUCCUUCCUCUAGCGAUUAUUAUGUGCAGGACAUUUCUUAUCUUCACAGCAGAAUUACCAUUAUGGAUGUACAUGAGUCCACAUGCCCUUUAAAAACCAGCCGAGCGGCUUUGUCAAAUUAUAGAUUGAUGUAAAAGGGAAGAGCUUAAAUUAAAUAUUUGAAUCUUAUUCUGAUUUUUUAAAAAUAAUUUAUAAGAGUUCAUAAAAAAAAGUUGUAAAUGUGUAAUUUAGAUAAAUAUGAAUACCCAAAUAAAAUUGGGCAAACUUUUAUUUUUCAUGAUGCUUUUUUUUUCCUUUAAAACCAAAAUAAAUUUAGGAUUCAUUUAUGUUUUAAUCACAUGCUUGUUUCAAAAUUUUACUUUCUUACAACAUUUUAUGAUUUUUUUUUAAAAUGUGCUCGCAUAUUUGUUAAAUUUAAGAAUUAAAGUCCAUGAUAUUAUAUUCAUCUUUAAGUUUCUCGAACAGUUACUUCAGAAGUGAAUCAGACUAGAAGGAAAAAAAAUGAACAAAAAAAGGGAACAGUUCAUGGCUUUAUACUUCUUUAUGGACUGUGGUUGCCUCAAUGAAUAGCCCAAGUGAUUAUUGGGCUUUUAAUUCGGCUCCUAUGAAAGGCCCAAAGCGUCCACGAUGAAGCAGAUCACAGGAGCAGUCUCAAAUCUCAAUUUUGAAUCUCUCUCAACUCCUCAAGCGGGGUUUCAUUUUGAAUGCCGCCAUUGGCCUCAUUUCACAAUAUAGAUGUGCAUGCAUGGAGGAUAUAUAUACACUGGGUGUAGUUGUGUAUAUAUCACUUAUAAAGUUAUCAUUAUAUUAUGAGUAUAUCUUUCUAUGUAUGUAUAUAUGUAUGUAUGUAUAUAUGAACAAAUAAAAUAAUAACUAUACGAAAAUUUAUAAGUAGCACCUGAAAAAAUAUCAGUAGAUUACUUUAGUUUUGAGGUCCAAAUGAUGCUGCACGUUGAUAACGGAAUACAGAGAGCUCAAAGAUUUAAAAUGCAUUUGAUUAAUGACAUUUUAAUUUAUGUGCUCUCCAUCUUCUGUCAACAAAAUUUUAAAAAAUUAGCGCCCUCUACUUCAAUCAGACCAAACACAUGGACCAAAUAUUAAUGAGGAAAAAAAAACCAAUCGAUACACUUUUGUCUCCACAAUAAUAAAUAGCUGCUGAAUGGCCAUGGAAGCGUGCAUAUCCACAGCGGCACGGAAUUAAAGUAGUUGAUAAACUGUUUACAAUAGCAAGGACUUUGUAUGCAUGAUGCCAAUUAAAUGGUUGCGGGCUUAAAAGCAUUAAUUUAUGAAGUGCUUCUCCCUUUUAGGAUGGAGAUAAGUCAAGACUACACUGCUUUCCCUUCUUUUCUUGUUCGCCUUUUGUAAUAGAUACUUUUUUUUUAACUUAUUAAGCAUCAGGUUAUUAUAUUACAUAGAGAUAUUUACAACUUUAAUAUGACAGCAGAUCAUUGCACUGAUAUUUACAAUCAUAUAUAUACCUAAAACUUACAUUAUUAUAUUUUUAUUUUAUAAAGUACAAGCCUAGCCAAAUACCCCUCACAGAGGAAGGAUGUCUUUACUCCACUCGCAUUUCGCAAGGGAGAAGGAUGUUACAAGCAAUAGAUACGUUAUUAUAUUGUUUUUUUAGCACAUUUUCAAUGAGACUACUAUUCCCAUAUCAGCUGCCACGUUAACCAUUUGAUCAAUAUUUUAUUUUAUGGAUUUGAAUUCGACAUGACAGAUAUUAGAAACCAAUGGCAUACAACAUGACCAAAUUUUACAUCAAUACAUACAUUAUACUAAUGUAGCUGUGACAUUUGAAAUAAGCAAUUAUUCCAUUAAAUCCAUUUACGGCAGAACUACAUACCACAUGAAACGCAAUAGGACUCGUUCCAAUGUCACAAAAUUAAUAAGAAAACAUUUCAUAGAGAGGAAAUCUCUGCGGAAGUGAAUUGCCUUCAUAAAAUAUCAUAGUGACACUUUGACUCUUGACGGCAAAUAGGGCUACUCAUAGAACCAAUCUUGAAUCGGAAAUGGAGAGUUCUAAAAACCACAUGAAAAAUUAACUUUCGAAGACGCAUCAAAAUGUUGCACCAAGCAUAAGAUUCAAGAUAUCCUUAACUCGAAUUUGUUGUAUGUAAGUUAAGUGGAAAUAUCAGGACACAUUGAUUUUCUUCCCCUCUGCGCCUAACUAGUAUUAUAUCGUUGUGAUUAAUAACAUAUAAAUUGAUCUAAAUUUUUGUCAUAAACUAUAACAUUUGUACUUUAAUCUACUUGAGAUUAAUGAACGUCAUAUAUGAUUAAAAAAAUUAUUAAUUUCAUCUCUUUUGUUAUUUUAAUAAUCUAUUAUAUGCUGUUAUAUCCCAUGAUCAAACUAUGUAUUCGACUGUUAAUUUUUCAAUAUUAUUUUAUUAUAUAUUUACUCGUUUCCAUAAUCACAGUCUAAUUAAUUAUUUAUAUAUAUAUAUAUAUAUUUGGACUUUGGUGGUCUCCAUAAGAAGCCCAACUCAUAUUGGGCAUUUGAAGUUUAAAUCAUUAAAAAGUUCAAUUAGUCCCCAAUGCACAAGGAUAGACUAAUAUCCUCAUGGCAUUUUUUGACGUAAUUGAUUUGUCAAAAGUGUGUGUGUAUAUAUUGACACACGCGCACGCACGCGCGCGCACACACACACACACACACACACACACAUAUAUAUAUAUAUUGUUAUGCGUGGAAUUCUGCAUAUUUUAACACGUGAAUUUACUAAUAUACUGUAUAUUAAUUAAUUGAAAAAAAAUUAAUAAAAACACUAAUGGCAUAUUAGUGCCGUCACACACGCCUACAACAUAAAAACUUAUCAUGCAUUAAAUAGAACGCAAUCGUGCACACCGGAUCAUAAUUUUAAUUAUAUAUAUCUUUCUUUAUUCAUAAAAAUAAUAAUAAUAAUAGUAACAAUAAUAAUUACAACAGCAACCACAAUUUUUAGAAACGCGUGAACUUGACAUGAGAAGUCCUCGUUCUUCUGCGUGUCGGUCGCUUUAAAAGUGUUGGUCGUCGGGGGCCGUUCCAAAUUUCCAAUGCCGCGUUUCUCCAAUCUUGUUAAAAUAAACAAAUAAAUAAAGUAAGCCAUUGCGUUUGGUGGUGAGAAAAAUUAAGAAAGCGAAAGAUAUUGACUGGAAUUGGACUGCAUGCAUGGAAACUGUUUCCAAUAAGUUCUGUUGCUAUUAAUAUUGAAGAACGUUUACUAAGAAAUUUGAGGUCAAGUUAGGAUGGGGAUGGAUGGAUCAUCCCAACGUUUACUAAGAAAUUUGAGGUCAAGCUAGGAUGGGAAUGGAUGGAUCAUCCCAUUCCCACCGAUGCUAACUCAUUUACAAUUACCAGGAAAUUAAGCGACUUCACUUUGCCGUAUUGACUUCCCCAUUGAAAUCUGAAAGCUUCCACCUAAACAAAUCGUGGAAAGAGACUUCAGAAGCUGCGUGGCAUCCGCAUACAAAAUUUAUAGUAAGAAACGAAAUUGAACAUGUUUAUCUAGAUUUGUCCCUUUAUCUUCCAUUGCAUUAAUGCUUGAAGCCUAGCACUCAGUAAUUAAAAAUUUUCUUCCAUCGUGUCGAUUUCAUUUUAUGAAUAAUUAAUAUUAUUUUUAAAAAAAUUAUUUAGCGCUAAUUAAUUCAAUCACAUAGUUGUAUACUAAACUAUGAUAAGUUUAAAGCCCGCCUCUCACCGUGCAAGUGAAACUGUAGAAAACAUAGCGCAUUAACACUUUUAUACCGUUCUGCUCAGUUUAUUCAAAUUCAUUAAUUGUAUCUUGGAAUUGGAGGAGCAAUGAGUAGUGACGAAGCUUCAAUUUUCUCAACUUUUCUGUUUUGUCUGUUGAUGUUUGUAUUCAUCACCAGUGAAAUUGAAGCAAGAAAACUUGAAGUAAAAAUGUGUUCUUCUUCUUGUGGAGAUGUCAAAAACAUAAGCUACCCUUUUCGCCUCAAGGGCGAUCCAGCUGGAUGCGGCCAUCCGGAGUUAGAACUUUCUUGCGAGAGCAACAAAACCAUCUUAGAAUUCAAUUCUGGAAAGUACUAUGUGAAGAGAAUUUCCAAUGAUAAACUUACAAUCAGUGCUGCUGAUGUUAACCUAGCCAAUGGAAGCUGCAGCCUCCCGUACAAAUCUUUUUCCCAAACUUAUUCCCCUUCCAAAAAAUCUUUUCAUUACCUUCUCGAUUCAUACGCUUAUUACGUGAAUUGCUAGAGUAAUAUUGUUGUUCAGGCGUAUACAAAAGUUCCAUGUUUGAGUAACAAUCAGUCGAAUGUCUAUGUUUAUGUUGGAUAUGAUUUAAUCGCCACCAGUAUAUCACAUCUUCCAGACUCAUGCGCCUUCAUUUCAAAGGUUCCUGUAGUACUUAAUAUGAGCGUGGACAAACUUUCUUAUGAAGACCUCUGAAAAUCGCUGGAGUCAGGGUUCGAUCUUACGUGGUCAGAUUCGAGCUUGAGCCUCUCAAUGCCUCUCUGUAAGCUUAUGCUUAUAUUUAUUUAUGCAUUCAAAUGCAAGGGCUUUGUUUUUGCUUUUCAAUACUGUACGUAAUAAAGAAUUUGUGAACUAUCUCUAUGAGCAUACCGAUAUGACCUUUAAUUUCUGUUUCUUUCCACUUUUGCAACAGAUUGCAUCCUCAAUGCAGGAGUAGUGGCAAAGAUAAAUUGCCUCUUAUAUUUUAUACGUAAGCAUAUCCUUAUAUAUCUUUUUGAUCAUGUGUUUUCGACGUUAAUAAAUGCGAUGGCUUCAUAUAUUCUCUAAUCUUUUACUGUAUAAUUUUUUUCUGAAUCAUCUCUCUGAUUAGGUAUAAAGCUUAUUUAUUUUUUUCCCCCCUCUCCAAUUGUAGUUUACAGUGUAAUUUAUGGGAUAAUUUCUCUGUUAGGUAAAAUCUCCUCUCCAGGAUCCUCUUUUAUUGCUUUGCUUACUACUAUUUACUUUCAAUAAACGUUCUCUUUACCAGGGUUUCCAGUUGAUGUUCUGAUAAUUGGUAGAUUUAUUCUUGCUCCAAUAGUCUUUCUCGUGUUCCUUAUCCACAAAUACAGAACGACAUUGCAAACAGUUGAUAAUAUUGAGAAAUUUCUGCACAACCAUCAAUCGUGGAUGCCUAAAAGGUACUCUUACCCUGAGAUAAUUGCCGUGACAAACCACUUCUUUCAUAAAUUAGGCCAAGGUGGCUUUGGUUCCGUUUAUAAAGGACAGCUUCAUACCGGUCGCUUGAUUGCUGUUAAAAUGCUGGAGAACUCCAAGUUCAGUGCAAAGGAAUUCAUCAAUGAAGUUUCAACAAUAGGUAUAAUUCACCACGUUAAUGUGGUCCAGUUAUUAGGGUUCUGUUCUGAGGGAUCCAAACGCGCACUUGUCUACGAGUUUAUGCCUAAUGGAUCACUCGAUAGGCAUAUCUUUCCUAAGGAAAGUAGAGGCCAAUCUUGUAGUUGGGAGAAACUCCACGAAGUUGCUUCAGGAACUGCCCGUGGGAUCGAGUAUUUACACAACGGAUGUGAUGUCUGCAUUCUUCAUUUCGACAUUAAGCCUCACAACAUCCUGCUAGAUCAUAAUUUCAUCCCAAAGGUCUCAGAUUUCGGCCUUGCAAAGUUUCAUCCCAAGGAAAAUGAUUUUGUGUCCAUCAGUGCCACAAGAGGAACCAUAGGAUACAUAGCACCUGAGCUGAUUUCAAGGAAUUUUGGAACUAUUUCUUGCAAGUCAGAUGUUUACGGUUUUGGGAUGGUGUUGCUGGAAAUGGCUGGAGGAAGAAGGAAUUCUAAUAUGAAAGCAACUCAUUCAAGCAAAGCAUAUUUCCCAUCUUGGGUAUAUGACCAAUUAAAUAAGGGAGGUGAUUUAGAGCUUCGGAAUGUGACUGAAAUCGAGUCCAUGAUUGCAAGGAAACUGUGUGUGUGAUUGGUUUAAGGUGUAUUCAGGUGAAGCCAGCUGAUCGCCCUUCCAUGACAAAAGUUUUGGAAAUGUUAGAAGGGAGUAUCGACGAUUUGCAAAUGCCUCCGAAACCUUUCUUCUCUUCUUCUCGACAUAUCUCCGGAAGAGAGAUUGAAUCAGAUUCUUCAACAGAGUUGUUAGUGUCUGAAUCGAUUGAGGAAUGUUCUUUCAAUGAUAGUUAUGCUUAGUUUUGGCAAUGAUAUAUGUAAAAAAGAAAUAAAUUGUCCUUAUGCUACCAGAGCUUCUAUAAUAUUAUGUUGAAAAUUUUCAGUACGAUUCAUUGUUCGAUGUGAAUAUUUCAAUUUUGCUCAUAUCGACUAGAAUAUGAUGUACGUUUGUCAUGUGAUAAUGUACAUUUGUCAAACUAUUGAAACGCUGCUUGCUGCAUAUCUGAUCGAGCUAGUGUAUGCUUUGAACUCUCUGCUCCUGCUCAACGUAAUUUAAAGUACAAUUACUAAAGUAAAUGGCAGACAUCUAAAUAUCACCACGCAUCCACUUUUACUUAAUAGCUACUAAUUCCAUCUCACAAUAGUGGUGAAUUAAAAGGCACAUAGUUCCCAUCAGUACUAAACACACCCUUAUUCUCACACUGAUUUAUCAUGGUAAGCGGAGGGUAGCUGCUAGGAAUUACCCGUUUUUAAAGAACAACAUUACUUACUGAUCUUAAAAACAUAAUUUUCUCAUUUCUUUACCUAAAAAUUACUUUCCCAACUCUCACUAAAAUCUAUAUCACAAACAACAAGUCUCAUCCUGUUCCUGCAUGCAUCUGAUAUUGACAGAUUUUGAAGUUGACUAGUCUCUUUGGGGCUACCAUUGACUUAGAAAAAGGAGAAAAGAAAUAAGGAAAGAACAGAAGCAAUUAAAAGAAACCCAUUUUCCUACCUUUUUCCAUGACAAAUUGACAAUCAAAUUCUGCUCUCCCUCAUUACUCCAAAAGCAUAACUCAAAAUCCGCUCUCCCUCUCCUUUCAUGUCCCUCGUGAUGAGUUUAAUAAUCCUCUUCCUCUUCUUACCUAACACAUGUACAUUAGCCAAAGCUUCUGCGAAGACAAGAAGACAGAUAAAUAUGAAUUCUGUCAACCAACAAAUUGUAGUAAUAGUAGCCCAAGUAUCAGAUAUCCCUUCAGACUCAAAACUCAACCAACAUCUUGUGGCCUUGAAGGGUUUGAAUUGUCAUGCUUAAGUGACAAGACAAUCUGGCAUCUUCCUUCCUCCCAAGAUUAUUAUAUCCAAGAAAUUUCUUAUCUGGACAGCAGUAUUACCAUUACAGAUGUGAAUGAGAUGGCAUGCCAGUUUCAAUUUCUUAUCUCUUUCAACCUCACACACUCCAAAUUCUGUUUUCUUCCCUUUAACAAAAGUUACGCUUUAUGUAACUGCACUUCGAAGGUUGCUGUAGAAUUAGAACGGACUUCUGUUGAACUAAUUGCACCGAUCAAUUGUCUUAGCAAUGAAAACAAUUAUGUGUAUGCCAUAUAUAGCGAAUAUUCAAUGGAGUAUAUGCCUCCAUCCUGCAGAAAAUCUCGAACAGUUCAGAUUCCUGCUGGAUUACCUUUCCAGGAUGUUGCUACGACGGCGAGGGCAACUCCAGUACUCUUAAGAUGGGAAGCUCUUGAUGGAUGCUACUGUUGAAAAGUCAGAAGCAAAUGCCAACUUUGCAACUGUUAGUAUGAAGGCUUUGUAGAAGCAAAAUCCAAUUCGGUUUUUGUUAGCCGAAAAGAAAGAAUGGAAAAAGGGGAUGUAUUGAAAAUAAUAAUAAUAAUUUAUUAUAUUUUUAAUUAUUUUAUUCUUUGCAUAGUGCCAACAUUUUUCCUAUAAAUAGCUAAGGAUUUCAUUCAUUUGAAAUCAUCCCAGAAUUGUUAAGCUUAUAAGUUUCUAAGCUUUUGAGAGAAGUGAGAGAAGUGUGUCUGGGGAAUUUAUCUUUCCUGCAGAGUAUGAGAGUACUGGGUAUAUUUGGGUUUCUGGGAAGUAAGAUUCGUUACUCAAAUAUUGUAUUAUAUUAAUUGUUUAAUAAGCAAUUAUUCUUUCUUACCUCCGUGGAUGUAGGUUUAAUUACCGAACCACGUAAAUUCUUGUGUCCUUUAUUUUUCAGUAAUUAUUUGGUGUGCUUGAUUCCGCAUUCCGCGCACAACAAGUGGUAUCAGAACCGAAGGUUCGUACUUUGGGGGAUACAAUACUGUUCAUGUAUACGGUAUUAUAUUUGUAUAUAGUACUAUUCAGUAUACGGUUACAUAUAUGGUAUUAUUCCUGUAUAGUACUAUUCACGUAUACGGUACUAUUCCCGUAUACGGUACUAUUCCCGUAUACGGUACUAUUCACGAAUACGGUGGAGACGGCCAUUUGUACUUGGGAGACAGUCUAUUGUAAGUAGUGUGUAUUUUUACAUGUCUAGGAAAGUUCUGUCAAAAAGGCGAUAAGAGUCUAAGGAUUCUGAUUUUUAAUUGGGACCGGGUUCCCGUCCAGUUUCUUGGGAACUUUCCUGGUGCAUUUAUUCACGCGAAAUUAACAUCAUAGAUACUGUUUUUCAAGUAGAAAUAGUUCGUUGAGAAAAUGGUAGAAGGUGAAACUUCCAGAAGUGGGGAGAGAUCUACCGAGACUAUUUCAGGAGACACUUCAGGUGGGAGGCGAGAUUUUUCAAAUCGCUAUUCAGCACCUAUUAUAGGAGGCCAGAAGAUCGAUGUUGAAAAGUUUGAUGGGAAAAUCAACUUCAGCAUGUGGAGGCGCGAAGUUAUGGAUGCCCUUAUUCAAAUCGAUCUCGAUGUUGUUUUGAAAAAUAAAAGACACUUGUAUGAUGAAGAAAUUUGGGAUCGUAUGAAUGAGAAAGCAUGUGGUCAGAUCAGAUCUUGUUUGACCAAGGAGGUGAAAUACUUGGUGAAAGAUGAGGAGUGUGCAGUGACUUUGUGGCGUACAUUGGAAGAGAAGUACCUGGUGAAAAGUCCUGAAAAUCGUCUUCAUGCUAUGAGCCAAGUAUAUGGCUUUCGAAUGAAGUCUGGGGUGUCAAUGCACGAUCAUGUUUCAAGAUUUGAAAAGUUACUUGCUGAUUUGAAGAAUCUUGAUGAAGAUAUUAAAGAUGAAGUCAAGGCUAUGAUUCUGUUACACUCACUACCAGAGGAAUAUAGCCAUUUUGUGACUACUUUGAUAUAUGGGAAGAGUGUGAUCGUCUUCAAAGAUGUUUGCACAGCAUUGACUAGUUUGGAGAUUCGGAAUAAUGAUAAAAAUUCUGAACGAGCAUCGUCUGAAACUUUGGUGAGCAGAGAUUGGGCGAUGGAGAAAAAGAAGAAGCGUGGUGGAAAGAAUUCUCGAUCCAAAUCGAGAAGCAGAAAUAUAGCUCGAGAUGAGUGUGCCUUUUGUCAUGAAAAGGGCCAUUGGAGAAAAGAUUGUCCAAAGGCUCAAAAGAGAGAUGGGAAGAAACCAGCAGCAGCAAACAUGGCACGGAAAGAUGAGGAUUCUGAUUAUUCACUAAGUAUCACUCCUGCAGCAUGUGUGGCUAGUUCGAGCGAGUGGAUACUUGAUACUGGAGCAACCUAUCAUUUGUGUCCUAUUAAGGAAUGGUUUGCAGAUUUUCGUAAUCUGGAAUCCGGUGCAGUUGUGAUGGGGAAUGAUAAACCUUGUCGCACAAUGGGGAUAGGAAUAAUUCGGCUCAAAAUGUUUGAUAGAAUGGUCAGAGAACUCAAAGAGGUUAGAUUUGUUCCAGAGAUAAAGAAAAAUCUAAUUUCUGUGGGUGCUUUGGAAGCUAAAGGCUACAAGGUUACCAUUGAAGAUGGCACAAUGAAGUUUACACAUGGGGCUAUGGUGAUUCUGCAAGGGGUUCGGCGUCACAAUCUGUACUAUUUGAAGGGAGGUACAACUGAUGAAGCAAAUAUUUUUUAGGCGCACAGUGACACCACCAAGCUAUGGCAUGUACGACUGGGACAUGUAGGAGAGAAGUUUUUGCAAACUCUGAUGAGGCAUGGACUCUUAAAAGGUACCAAAACCUGUAAAUUAAAUUUCUGUGAGCAUUGUGUAGUAGGCAAGAAAACAAUGGUCAAGUUUGGUACAGCUAAUCACGAUACUCGUGAGAUCCUUGAAUAUGUUCAUAGUGAUGUAUGGGGACCAACCAAGACUGCAUCAAUUGGUGGAAGCCAUUAUUUUGUUAUACUUGUUGAUGAUUUCUCUAGACGUGUAUGGGUGUACACCAUGCGAGCAAAGGAUGAGGUUCUAGAGAUUUUCGUGAAAUGGAAGAAAUUGGUGGAGACUCAAACUGGCAGAAAGAUCAAAGUAUUACGAUCUGAUAAUGAGGGUGAAUAUACUUCUGAUCCAUUCUUGCAAGUAUGCCAGAAUGAGGGUAUUAAAAGACAUUUCACGGUGAGACAUACUCCGCAACAGAACGGUGUGGCUGAGCGUAUGAAUCGUACUUUACUAGAGAAGGUACGGUGUAUGUUAUCUAAUGCUGGUUUAGAUAAAAAGUUUUGGGCUGAAGCUGUGAGCUACGCAAGUCACUUGGUAAAUCGGUUGCCUUCUGCUGCAAUUGGAGGUAAAACUCCUAUGGAAAUAUGGUCUGGAAAGUAUGCACAAGACUAUGAUUCCCUUCGUGUAUUCGGGUGUCCAGCUUAUUAUCAUGUCAAAGAUGGUAAACUGGAUCCUCGUGCUAGAAAAGCUAUCUUUGUGGGAUUCAAAGGUAGAGUAAAGGGCUUCAAGCUUUGGGAUCUCGAAGACAAAAAAUUUGUGUGCAGUAGAGAUGUCACAUUUGAUGAAGCUUCAAUGAUAAAAGCUUCAAGUUCUCAGCAGGUGGAGAACAAGACCACAGAGGUAUUGCAGCGGGUGGAGUUUGAUGUAACUCCAUAUGUACCAAUUAGCUCUACAUCAAUGAAUGGUUCAACUAUGGAGUUGACACCUAGAGUUGAAGAAGAGAUUGUUUCUUCUGAUGUCCCACAAAAUGAAGAAACAAUUGAUGAUGUAGAUAAUGAUGAUUUUAUAGCAACAAGGAGGCCAAGAAGAGAGAUAAAGAAACUCGGAUGGCUUACUAAAGAUAUGGUGGUAGCCUAUGCACUUCCAGUUAUUGAUGAUGACAUCCCCAACACUUUCGGUGAAGCAUUACGCAGCAGUGAAAGUGAUCAGUGGAAGCUAGUCAUGGAGGAAGAGAUGAAAUCUCUCCAUCAAAACCAGACUUGGGAACUUGUAAAGUUACCAAAGGGGAAAAGGACUAUUGGCAAUAAAUGGGUCUACACCAAAAAGCAAGGAUCUCCGAAUCAAGCAACUCCUCGAUACAAGGCAAGGCUCGGGGCAAAAGGUUUUGUUCAAAAGGAAGGUAUUGACUACAAUGAAGUUUUCUCUCCAGUUGUAAAAUAUACUUCCAUUCGUAUCCUACUUGCCUUAGUUACAGAGUAUGAGUUAGAGUUGGCUCAGUUGGAUGUUAAGACGGCGUUCUUACAUGGAGAUUUGGAGGAGGAAAUCUAUAUGACUCAGCCUUGUGGUUUCAAAGUUGCUGGAAAAGGAAAAUCGUGUGUACAGAUUGAGUAAAUCUUUAUACGGAUUAUUAUGAACUACGGUUGGCUUGAUCCCAAAUUUUGAGUACGUAGGCAGUCGGAUAGAUGCAGCCAAUGUGGAUCCUUUUGAGGAUCAUGUGAGGGAUGAAGUUUGGCGGAUCAUUGUCAAUCGGCUCAGAUUUGGAUAAAUUUUCGCCGAGGUGGAGAAUUGUUGAAAAGUCAGAAGCAAAUGCCAACUUUGUAACUGUUAGCAUGAAGGCUUUGGAGAAGCAAAAUCCAAUUCGGUUUUUGUUAGCCGAAAAGAAAGAAUGGAAAAAGGGGAUGUAUUGAAAAUAAUAAUUAUUAUUUAUUAUAUUUUCAAUUAUUUUAUUCUUUGCAUAGUGCCAACAUUUUUCCUAUAAAUAGCUAAGGAUUUCAUUCAUUUGAAAUCAUCCCAUAAUUGUUAAGCUUAUAAGUUUCUAAACUUUUGAGAGAAGUGAGAGAAGUGUGUCUGGGGAAUUUAUCUUUCUUGCAGAGUGUGAAAGUACUGAGUAUAUUUGGCUUUCUAGGAAGUGAGAUUCGUUACUCAAAUAUUGUAUUCUAUUAAUUGUUUAAUAAACAAUUAUUCUUUCUUGCCUCCGUGGAUGUAGGUUUAAUUACCGAACCACGUAAAUUCUUGUGUCCUUUAUUUUUCAAUAAUUAUUUGGUGCGCUUGAUUCCGCAUUCCGCGUACAACAGCUACGACUGCGAAAAUUCAGGGAAUUAUUGUGGGUUCAACACUACAAGCAAUUCGAGAAUCUGCGUUUAUUGUGGGUUCAAUACUACAAGCAAUUCGACAAUCUGCGUUGCCGUUAAACACCAAAAACGUAAGUAGCCAUACUUUUCCUCAGUCACCUCUCUCUACAGUGCUUGAAAGUGAAAGCAUCGUCUCUAUUUAGCUAACAAUAAAAAUAAUAAGUUGAAUUUAUUAUCAUUGUUUUAUACGCCGGAAAAGUGAUCAGAGCAGUAUAAAUGAAAAAAAUAAUAAUAAUAAUUAGGCCUUGCAUUAUUUUUUUCGAUUGUAAAAGUGUAAGUACAAUUGCUAGAAAGUUAAAAAUUAAAGAAGCCAUCUAUAUUAAUAGGGGUGGGCACUGAGCAAAGGUUAGAUAUAGUUGAAUUCCGAUGGUCAGUUUUUCAAAAAAAUAAUAAUUUGAACUGAACUGAAAGUCCAAUCAAUUUGGUUCGAUUUAGUUAGUUUUUUUUCUUAAUUUGCCCUGUAAUUUCUUUUGCGUUUUUCUAGUUUUUUUGAAAUUUUAUUUUCUCUCAUGUAAAUCGAUGGAUUUUUUUUUAUUAAAAAAAAACUGACGAUUCCUUUUUUUGGCGGCAAAUAUAAUUUUACCCACCCCUAAUCUGUAUGGCGAAUAUCAUUGCUAUAAAGGCUGAUUUGACUGUUUGAACAAAAACUGAUACUACUCAGGACCAAAUAGAUAGUACUAUUUUUCUGUACCCCGUCAAUUUAAUCUUGAAUACAUUACAAUUAAUUUUGUUAAUGGUGAGAGAUUGAUUAAACUUACAAUGCCUGAUAAAAGUUUAAUCUAUUAUAUUUUCUUGCGUCCUCAAUGAAUACAAAUUAAGCAGAAUUAUUAUACUAAUACUUUUUCUCUAUGAUUGUCUUUGUCAACUUUUUAUGUAAGAGCCAAUAUACGUUCAUGAUGGCAAAUUUGUUGAGAAAAAAAUUUUGUUUAAUCAAGUGACCCUCAAUAUUCACAUGGAAUAAGAGACGAGGGAAAAAAAAAAUCAUUUUGUGAAUGCAGAAAGGCAAAAGAAAAAGCAUAAUGACAGGGAUUUCUAAUUGUGAUCAUUUUGGUGUUUUCACUGUGUACUUGAGUAAAAGUUAAAAUUUUAAAUUGAAGUGUGCAAGGUAAAAGAAUGCUUAUUUUGCAGUUCAACUAAUUUCAUCUUCUGCUUAUUAGUAUUUUUUCAUUAUUUAGUUAAAUGACAACCUAAUUAUCUCUCCACCCAUGUGAAUAUGAUAUCUAAUCAUCAUUUAAGUUAUGGACAAAUACCUAUAUGAGAUGGUCACAUGAGAGGGACUUGUUAAAACCCAAUCAAAUAAUAUUGAGUCUUUGUGCUACCAAGUUAAGCUUGCACGGGUCCAAACUUUUAGCAUCUCAUUUUAUUGUUUGAGUAGAUUUUUUAACUAACUUUCAGCAUCUCAUUUUAUUGUAACAGAUAGUCCUGGCCCUUUUAUCUAUAAGUAUAAUAUCCACAAGCACAAGCAUUGGAGGCAUCACCCUCUUUGCAUUAGUGAUAUUUCUCAUUUACAGAUCAAGAGAAUCUGAAAAAGAAAAAGAGACUCAACUAAAGGUGGAGAAGUUCCUCGAAAACUACAGGACAGUCAAUCCCACCAGAUAUACUUACAAAGAACUGAAGAAAAUAACAAGCAGAUUUAAGCACAGGCUCGGUCAGGGAGGUUACGGAAGCGUGUUCAGAGGAAAGCUCUUCAACAGAAUUCCAGUUGCUGUCAAGAUGUUGGAACAUUUAAAAGGAAAUGGACAAGAGUUCAUCAAUGAAGUGGCCACAAUUGGCAGGAUUCACCACUUCCACAUUGUUCGGCUUCUGGGAUUUUGCUCUGAAGGAAACAGGCGUGCUCUUAUUUUCGAGUUUAUGCCCAAUGGAUCACUUGAGAAAUUCAUCUUCUCAAAGACAAAUAGCUCAAGUCAUCGUCAAUUGAGUUGGGAGAAGCUGAGGAAGAUUGCAUUUGGCGUUGCCCGUGGAGUGGAGUGGAGUACUUGCACCAAGGAUGCAACCAGAGGAUCCUGCACUUCGAAAUCAAGCCUCACAAUUUAUUAUUAGACCAUAAUUUUCAACCGAAGAUUUCAGAUUUUGGACUGGCUAAGUUGUGCUCAAAGGACAUAAGCAUUGUAUCUCUGACAGCUGCCAGAGGCACUUCUGGCUACAUUGCACCUGAACUUUUCUCCAGGAAUUUUGGUGAGAUCUCUUACAAGUCUGAUGUUUACAGUUACGGAAUGAUGCUGUUAGAGAUGGUCGGAUGCAGAAAAAAUAAUGAUCCUGCGGUUGAAAUUCAGAGCCAAAUAUAUUUUCCGGAGUGGAUUUACAAUAGAAUGAGGCAAGGACAAAAGCUCUGUUUGGAUUUUGAGGAAGAUGGGGAUGAGGGAAUUGCCAGAAAGCUUGCAAUUGUGGCACUUUGGUGCAUUCAAUGGAAUCGCACGGAGAGACCUUCCAUACCAAUUGUAUUACAAAUGCUUGAAGCUGAUUUACAAAGCUUGGAGAUCCCUCCAAUGCCCUUUGUCUCUGCUGAUGUUGAGGCAGGUGCAAUCAAUUGAUCUAGAUAGCAGAAGAUUACAAUUAAAAAGGGAUAUUGUUAAUUUAUUUCAAAUUUUCCCCGAUUAUAAGCUAAAUUAUUUAGUCCUUGUUUUUGGAACGCUUGAAAACCACUAAAUUGAGUUUUUGUUUGAUUGUGGCUGUUUUAUUUAUCGCUUAAAAUCUUUGAUGUGUUCGAGUGAUACAACAUUAAUACAACUAUGGAUGAAUUUUUUCAAUUUAUAAUAUUAUUGAGGAAAAAAGAUAAUUAUACCCUUAAGGUGUGAGAAAAUAAUUACAAAAACUCUCAAGUUUUUAAAAUGAGACAUCAAGACCAUUUUUAAUCGUAAUACCCUUUUAAUUUAUUAAUUAGGAAAUUGACUUUGAAGUUUUUUAUUUAAUUAAAAUUUAAUAUAAAUAAUAUAAUCUAUCUAGUAAACUAAUAAUAUUAAAUUAUUUUUGACAUUUAAAAUAAUAUAAAAAUUUAAAUUAUUAUAUUUAUUUUAAUAAUAGAUUUGUAUUUGUUAUAAAGAUUUUAAAUAAAGUCUUUGGGUUGAAUUUUACAAUUAACAAAAUAUAUCCCUUUUAAUAAUAUUAAAAUUAUUUUUACAUAAUAUUCAAAAUAAUUUUGAUUUUAAUUAAUUAAUUUUAAUAUUAUAUUUCUAUUUAUUUUAAAAAUUACUUCAAUAUAAUAAAAUAAGUCAAAUAGAUUGUAAAAUAUAAAAAUAUAUUUUUAGAUAUUUUUCAAAUGUAUAUAUUAUUACAUUUAUUUUAAUGUCAUAUUUCUAUAGAUUAUAAAAUUUUAGAGUAAAUUUUUAGAUUUAUAGAGUUAAAGGGUAUUAUAGCAACAACAAAAAAAUAACCUUGUUGUCUUUUAUUGAAGACUUGGGAGUUUUUAUAAUUAUUUUUUCAAACAUUAGAGUGUAGGUGUCUUUUUUGCUAUUAUUUAUUAUACCCCGCUAUCCUUCCCUACUAAAAUCAAUACUACCUAAUUGCUGAUGAAUCUUUUGAUUAAUCAUUUAGUUUCAGAUAAGCAACGAAGUGAGACUUCAAAAGUUUUCCAAAAUGUGCACCGUCGUCUCUGAUUAUGAAGUAGGCCCUUAGAAAUUUCAACUUGUAAAGUAGAUGAUUAUUAGGAACUAUACUGCUAAAUCUUAUUCCAUUUAUGGCAGAUUACAUACCAAAUGAAACACAACAGAGUUCAUUAUAGUGGCACAAAAUUAAUAUAAAAACAUUUUAUAGAGAGGAAACCUCUGCACCUAUGAUACCUUCCCAUGCAAGCACAGGGUGCAUAAAGCAUACAAAAACUUUAGUCUAUUUUUAAACACAUCAUUGAAAAAAAAUAAAGCAUAACUAUCGCUGAAAGAGCAUUCCUUUAUUGAUAGACUUAUAGUUCCCAAGGAGAGUAGUUGGCAGAAACUCCAUGAGCUAGGUUGCUUUAGAAAAGGCUCGCGGGAUCGAGUAUUUACAGAACGGAUGUGAUGUGUGCAGUCUUCAUUUCAACAUUUAAGUCUCACAACAUCCUGCUAGAUCCUAAUUCCUUUCCGAAGGUCUCAGAUUUCGGCCCUUGCAACAUUUCACCCCAAGGAAAAUGAUUUUGCUCCCAUCAGCGCCAUAGGAAGAACAAUAUAUAGGUUAAAAUAUUACCUGAGCUAUGACUAAGGCGUUGAUCGCUCCUCUGUGACAAAAAGUUUUGGAAAUUUUAGAAGGGAGUAUUGACGAUUUGCAAAUGCCUCCAAAACCUUUCUCAUCUUCUUCUCGACAUAUAUCCGGAAGAGAGAUUGAAUCAGAUUCUUCAACAUAGUUGUUAAUGUCUGAAUCAGUGAAGGAAUGAUCUUUCGGUAAUAUUUAGGUUUAAUUUUGCCAAUGAUGAAUGUAAAAUAAAUAAAUGAAUAACAUGCAAUUAAUGACAAAUGUUCUUCUUCUUCUCAUUGGUUUAUCUCGAAUUGGAGCCUAAGGCACACACUACGCUUUUCGCAAGUGAUAGAUAAUUUAGUUGUCGAAAUCUUUUGAGUUGAUACAAAAAGUUUGAGAUUUGAAUCUGUCCAUAUGGGUGGCAAAAGAAUUUAACUAGAGGUGUGCUAGGCUUAACUUAAAACUCUGAGGUGGCCACUUGAGCUUGUAGCCAAGUGGUGAACCAUUACCCUUAAAGUUAAGCAUGACUAUAAGGGCAAUAGUUCGAGUCUUCACGAACUCAAAAACUCUCUCAAUUAAGCAUAAUUGUGUGGAGAUUACUUAUAACGUCUUUCUCCCUUGCGAAAUGCGAGUGGAGUAAAGGCAUCCCUCCCUCGUGAGGGGUAUUUGGCUGGACAUGUACUUCAUAGAAUAAAAAAUAUAAUAAUAUAAGUCUCAGGUAUAUAAUGACCUGUUGUCAUAGCAGUUGUAAAUAUCUAUAUGUAAUAAAGUAACAUGAUAUUUAAUGAGUUCAAAAAAAAAAAAACUCUGAGGUGGAAAUUUUCUUCAUUAUUUUACCCCCACAUUGAAAAGUAAUCACAAAAAAUCAUGUCAAUGGCUUCAUUUAGCCUAUUCUUUAUUAUUGUUUUCUGCAAAUGUCAUGGAGGACUACUCUCUUGUGGGGUUGCCAUUGACUUAAAUAAAAUGGUUUUAAGCCAUACAAAAAUGAAUGGCUAUCUUUAAUAUUACACUAAAAAACAUCUCUCUUUCUCUGUUAAUCCAUGUCACUUUUUCUGAGUUCAAUAAUCUUAUUCCUUCUCUUCCUUACACAGAAGCCAAAACUUCUGAAGGAAACAGCAAUACAAAUAUUUAUGAACGUUGUCAACCAAUAAAAUGAAACAUACCAUAUCAGAUUCCCCCUUUAGAAUCAAAUUUAAAUGAUUAAGAUUGCUGAUUAUAACACAGACCCUACUAAGUUUAAUAAAUGAUUACAAUUUACACACGCACUCUUUAUAUUAUUUACCCUUUAUUUGAACAACUAGAUGUACUUUAUAAUAACUACUAAUAUAACAUUGAAACAAAAACAAAUGUAAUAAAUAAAAUUAUCAUAUAUUUUAUAUAUCAAAGCAUGUUCUGUGUUCUCAUAAAAAAAAAUGAAUUAUUGUCUUCGAGUUUGUGGUGAGAAAUUAAAGUAGCGAGCGAAAGAUGUUGACUGGAUUGUUUCAUGCGUGGAAAUUGUUACAAAAUUUUUGUCUCAAUUUGAAGGUUUACUACGAAAUUUCAGGUCAAGCUAGGGUCAUCAUCACCGACGCAAACUUGCAAUCAAAACGUUUACUAAGAGUUGACUGACUUGUAAGAGUGUCCGGUGUCCCCUCUCGCAUGGAUGCUAAAAGUCUUGCGCUCAAACAAAUUCAAUUAAUAUGCUCUUUUAAACCUUUUCAAUUUCCCCACCUUUGUUUAUUAUUUUUUUAAAAAAUAAGAUAAUACUACUUUUGAACGAUUAAUUAUUGCUAUAUCAUCUUCAGCUAGUAGAAUCAGAUAGUUGAAUGCUAUAAUAAAUUUACUAUAUACACGUGCUCGUUGUUAAGUAAUGAUGUAAACACGUAUCCAAAACUUUGAAAAUGCAACCUUCUGUUUAAUUUACUGAAAUUCAUUGUAUCCUAUAAAUUUUCCAUCUUUUUUGUUUUCUUUCUCUCGCUCUGCCCUCUUUUUUUUUUUUUUUUUGGGUGUUUAUAAUAAUUGGGUUCUGUUGUAUAAACACUACUUCCUCAUAUUAUGAUAUAUUUGAGACCUAGGAGUAAAUUAAAAUUAAAAAAAGAAACAAUUAAUUGAGAAGGAUUGAUUACUUUUGAUAAAUAGAUAAAAAGUGAUUAGUGGAUAAUAUAAUUUGGUUCAUUGAAGUAGUUAAAGAUUUAAAAUUCGUUUUUAAUUAAUUAAGUGCUGCUGAAAUUAAAUUAUAAUUAUUUGUUUAUAAUAAAUCUGUAAAAAAGUGCAAAAGUGCACAAACGAAAAAAGUACUCGAAUUUGUAAUAAAUGCUUUUGAUUCCAACGAGUUGCGGAGGGCACGUUACAAAAUAAGGUUUUUAAUUUAAAAAAGUGAAUUUUAGUCAAAAGUAGGGGUGGGCACGAUUCGGUUCGGUUCGGUUCGGUUCGAAAUUAAGUAGAACCGAUUUAAUUCGGUUAUUUUAUAAAAAGAACCGAAUAAGAACCGAACUAAAAAAGAACCGAACUCAAACGGUUCUUUUCGGUUCGGUUUGGUUCGGUUCGGUUUUUUCGAUUCUUUUCAUUAUAAAUAUUAACAAUAAAUACAAAGUAUUCAAAACACAUUUUAUCACUAAUAUCUUACUAACUAUUAAUAAAUAAUUAAAUAAACAAUCUAUAUGAUAAGAAGCUAGUUUAAAAAAAAAGAAAACUUAUUGGUAAGCAACAUCAAUCAACUAUCAUUUACUCCUCAGCUACUUGCUGUUGUUCUUGAGAUUGCAUUGGCCUCAAAAAUUCUUCAAGAAAUUGAAACAAUUAUAUUAAAAUAAUUAAUUCUAAUAUACAAAAUGUUAUAAGUUAAAUAGAAAAAAAUAACAUAAUAAAUUACAAUAUUACCUGUUUCAACUAAUUCAUAGAAUUCAGCUUCUUCUUGACUUGGUUGUAUUGUACGCUCUCCUAAUAGAGUUGAGCGAAGCCAAUUUUGAGUGCAUAUUAAUGACUCGACUGUUUUAUGAGUUAAAGAACUCCUAAAAGGAUCGAGAAUGCGCCCUCCUGUGCUAAUUGCUGAUUCAGAAGCCACAGUAGACACCGGAAUUGCCAAAACAUCUUUGGCAAUUUGAGAUAAAAUAGGAUACCGAGGCCCAUUCAAUUUCCACCAAGUCAAAAUAUCAAACUGGGAAUUACUAGCACUCUCACAAGUCUCUGACAAGUACUUUUCAACAUCAUUUUUUCCACUCAUAUCAUCAUUUGAACUUUCUUUCAUCUUUUUAAAUUGUGUAAAAGGAUCAAAUGACUCAAUAUUACUACUAGCACCAUCAUGAACAACCAUACAUCUCUCACCUCUAUUUGGGUUACUCUCACCACCAUAGCUUUCAAGAAGCUUCAACAACAACUCUUUAAUAUUAGCUCUCAAUUCAUCAACCUUUCUAAUAUCAUACAAGCUACUAAAACACCAUAUAACAAAGUCAAGUUUGCAGCGAGGAUCAAGCACAUUUGCCACAAUCAACAACAUGUUAACCUUUUCAAAAAAAUGACCCCAAUACUUGACAAAAUUUUCCUCCAUCUUGUAACCCAUUUGAUUUAACAAAAAAUCAUUAGAAUCAACAAGUGACUUCAAAUGAAUAUAAACUUUCCACAUUUCAUUCAAGAAAUUAUUGGAAGUGACUGUUAAAGAGCUGCUGAAUUUUAAAGUCACAUGAUAAAAAAUCGAAAGACACUUGACUAACCUCUUUGCAUUUUCCCAAUCCUUAUCAAUUGGUGGCCCCACCCUCCUUUUUUCACUCUCAUCCUCAUCAAACCAGUUUGUAUAAUGGCCAUCAUCUUCCUUUAGCCUCUCAAAUGCUUUCUCAAAUGCUACCGCUUUUUCUAACAUCAAAUAUGUUGAAUUCCACCGAGUCGGCACGUCUAAUACCAUAAGCCCCCCACGUGAGAUUUUCUCCCUAUCAACACAUGUUUUGAACUUUUGUAAUCUUGCCGGAGAUGAUCUAACAUAUUUCACCGCAUUUCGGAUACUAGCUAUUGAUUGACUCACUUGUGACAACCCAUCUUGCACAAUUAAGUUGAUUAUAUGCGCUGAACACCUCACAUGCAUAUAUAAACCAUUCAAAACCAUCGAAUUUCCACUCCAAUUUGCCAACUUCUUCUUCACAUAAGCUAUUGCAAGUGUAUUAGCACUUGCAUUAUCCACUGUAAUUGUGAACAACUUCUCAAUCCCCCAAUCAAUCAAACAAUUUUCAAUUAACUUCCCAAUGCCAUCUCCUUUGUGAUUAGAAAUAGGUGUGAAAGUGAGAAUCCUCUUGUGCAAAACCCACUCUUCAUCAAUAAAGUGAGCUGUAACUACCAUAAAGUUUGACAUUUGAAUUGAAGUCCAUGUGUCUGUGGUAAUGCAUACUCUCUGUUUAUUUGCACUCAAAAUACUUUUCAGCAGCCCCUUUUCAUUUUGAUACAAUUCAAGAAUAUCCCUUGUAAUUGUUCUUCGAGAUGGUACCUCAAAUUUCGGACAACAAGUUUCCAUGAACUCCAAAAACCCUUCAGCCUCUACAAAUUUAAAAGGUAACUCAUCUUUAAUUAUCAUUCUCACAAGUGCCAUUCUACAAGCCUCUCUAUUAAAUCCUAUGUGUAUAACCUUAGCAGUACCAUCAUCUUUACCUUUACCCUUUUUACAAACUAAUGUCUGUUGUUUUGCAUCAUUUGCAGCCUUCAUUUUUUUGCGCACUUUACAUCUAUCCAAAUGAGUCGACAAACCACUUGUUCUAGAAUUACUAUGGGCUGCAUAACUUUUUCCGCAAUAAUGACACUUAGCUCUAAGUCCUCCAGGUAGCUUCGAAAAAUGCUUCCACACAAAUGAUCUCAACUCAAUUUUUCUUUUUUUACUACCACUGACCUCUUCUUCACUAUUAACUUGUUGCACUUCAUCACUAAUUUGUACUUCACCAACGUUGUCAACCAUUCUAUAAAAUUAGAACAAUUAUAAUGUCAAAAUAAAAUUUAAAUAAGUAAAUAUAGCCACUGUCCAACAUACAAUCAGUAGCCAUUUUAUAAACAUAAUUAGCAGUUAUAUAUUGUAAAUCAUGCAAUUUAUAUCUACACGGUAAUAGACAUUAAAACAACCGGAGGAAAAUGAAAUUAAAAAAAUAAAAAAAAGUGCUGGACAUUUGUUUUUAUUUGGCUGCUGUAGAAAAUCAAAGAAACAAGGCCUGACAUACCUAUUGGAGUACGGUGGCUACUCGCUAGCGAGCAAAGCAGAAUCUGUCGAGUGGAGAAGUGGCUGGCCCGUGGUGGCUGGCGAGUAGAUAAGCUGUCACGCGGUGGCUGGCGAGUGGAGAAGUGGUUGGCGCGCGGUGGCUGGCAAGUAGAGAAGAAGCUAUCGCGCAAAGCAGAAACUAUCGAGCAAAGCAUAAACUGUCGCGCGGUGGCUGAUGAGUGGAGAAGUGGCUGGCGCGCGGUGGCUGGUGAGUAGAGAAGAAGUUGUCGCGCAAAGCAUAAACUGUCGCGCAGUGGCUCGAGCAGAGAAGUGGCUGGCGCGCGGUGGCUGGUGAGCAGAGAAGAAGCUGUCGCGCCGGUGAGCAGCGUCGGCCGUGAUUGCAGUGAUUGGGGUGGGUGAUUUGGAUUUGGUUUCGAUUUUGAAUAUUUGAUUUUAGGGUUUAUUUUGGGAAAUAAUGAUUUACGAAAUUGUAACACUAACAUAUAUAUAUAUAUAUAUACUCUGAUUGUGUGUAUGUAAGUUUAUGUUAACUAUCUUACACAACCAGUUAAAAAUUAAUACAUAUUUAAUUUAAUAAAAUUUAAAAAUAAUUCGAUUUUUCGGUUCGGUUUUUCGGUUCAGUUAAAUGAACCGAAUACCAAACGGGUAUUUCGGUUUUUUUAUAAAUGGUACCGUUUGGUUUUUUUUAUAAAAAAAAACCACACCGAAUUAAAAAAAACUGUCGGUUCGGUUCGGUUUUUUUAACCCUACGGUUUUUUUGCCCACCCCUAGUCAAAAGGUUCGAGAUUCAUGUUUUUAUCAUGUUAAAAUGAUUUUCCAUCAUAUCCUACACUUAUUUCAUGGCACUUGACUUUUGACGGCAAGGUGAAGGAGGUCUGCUUGUAGAACCAAAUCUCGAAGGAUGGGUAUCAGUUAGAAACAAAUAAAAUAAAAUGAAUUUUAUUGAUAGCCUUAGCCUUAGCCUAGAAAAUAAAAUCUUGUUUUAUACUUUUUAUUCAUUAAAUUUCUUUUUAAAUUACUCAAAACACAUCAAAUAUUGCGCUAAACAUACAUUCAAAUAUUCUUAAUGAUCACUAAUUUGAAUUCGUUGUAAGAAAGUUAGAGGUGGGAGGUAUAAAAUAUCACUGACUUGUCCAUCUAAACUACUAUGAUGAGUUGCGUGUAAAUUGAUCUGAACAUUAGUUGAGGACCUACUACUGUACUUCUAUUACCUACUUAAGAAUUGAGAUGAACAAAAUUUAUUUUUUUAAAAUAUAAAAAUCUUAAUAUUAUCUCUCAUAUUCUUCUUCUAUUUAUAUAUGUUGUCGUAUCAUGCGCUCAAGUAAAAUUUAGGAAGCUUUCAUUUUUCAUGAUGAUUUUUCUUUUUCCUUAAGACCAAAAUAAAGUUAGGAUUCAUUUAUGUUUUAAUUAAUCACAUGCUUGUUUGAAAAUUUUACUUUCUUACCACGUUCUUAUGAUUUUUUUUUAAAAUGUGCUCUCAUAUUCGUUAAAUUUAAGAACCAAAAAAGGGAACAGUUCAUGGCUUUAUGCUUCUUUAUAGACUGUGGUUGCCUCCAAGAUUAGCCCAAGUCAUUAGUGGGCUUUUUAAUUCUGCUCCUAUGAAAAGCCCAAAGUGUCAACAAUGAAGCAGGUCACAGGAGCAAUCCCAAUUCUGAAUCUGCCAAGUCAUUAGUGGGCUUUUAAUGCCGCCAUUUGUCUCAUUUCACAAUAUAGAUAUGCUCAUAUGCAUGCGCAGAGGAUAUAUAUAAUUUAAGGGUGGCUUUGGAUAUAAGACAGUCGUCUAAGACUUUAUAUUUUGUGAAUGUCACAUUUUUUAAAUUUUUUUAAUAAUUUGCAUUUUUUAAAUUACGUAUUUUAAAAAAUUAAAAAGCUUAUUAACAUCUUAAUUAUCAUACAAUUAAGAAUUAUUUUUAUGAAAAAUCUAUAUUUGAUAACAUUAAUGUUAAAUAGAUAUAACUAAUAAUAUUAUUUAAUCAUUAAUUCAUUCAUUAUUAAUCUUUCCAAAAAAAAUUAAAUUAGCUAUCUUUUCAAUUUCCUCAAAAAAAUUAAUUAUUUAAUGUUAGAAUAUUUGGCUUUUAGUAUUUUCCUCUCUUCUCUACAUAGAAAAUUAUUAUAUUCAUUGGUUAAUUUUUAAAAAAAAUCAGUUUAUAGAAAUACAAAGUCCAUUUCUAUUAUCUUGUCAUUAAUUCAUCAUCUCAACUUUUUAUGUUCUAUCAUUGUAAAUAUCAUGUUUGACAAUAAUAUUAUUCUUAUUUAUUUGAUUGGUUAUUUUGUAAUAUUUUUAAUGGAACAAAAAAAAUCUUCUUAACUUUUUUUUAGGUUUUAUUUUUAAAAUUCAAGAAUUAAAAAUGGAAUAAAUUUUGAGCUUUUUUUUUUAAUUUCUUUGAGUAUUGAAAUUGCAAAACAAAUAGAGGCCUCAUAAAAAAAAAUUUGCCUAAGGCCCCAAACACUUUAAAGCCGACCUUUAUAUAUAUACACUGGGUGUAGUUGUGUAUACAUAACUUACAAAGUUAUAAUUAUACUAUAAGUAUAUAUGUAUGUGUGUGUGUGUGUGUGAACAAACAAAAUAAUAAUCCAACGAAAAUUAUCGAGUAGCACUUGGUAGAAGAUCAGUAGAUCACUACAAUUUUGAGUGCCAAAUGAAGCUACACGUUGAUGACAGAGUACAUAGAGCACAAAAAUUUAAAAUGCGUUUGAUUAGUGACAUUUUAAUUUAUAUGCUCUUUAUCUUCUGUCAACAAAAUUUCAGAAAAUUAGCACCCUCUACUUCAAUCAGAACAAACACAUGCACCAAAUAUUAAAGAGGAAAAAAAGCAUCACCAAUCGAUACGCUUUUGUCUCCACAAUAAUAAAUAGCAGCUAAAUAGCCUUGGAUGCGAGCAUAUCCACAGCAGCACGAAAUUGAAGUACUUGAUAAAUUGUUUACAGUAGCAAGGUAUUUGUCUGCAUGAUGCCAGUUAAAUGGUUGCAGGCUUAAAAGCAUUGCUUUCCCUCCUUUUCUUGUUCGCCUUUUGCAAUAGAUAUGUUAUUAUAUUGUGUUUUUUAGCAGCACAUUUUCAAAGAGAUUGCAAUUGCCAUAUCGGCUGCCAAGUUAAUCAUUUGAUCAAUAUUUUAUUUUAUGGAUUUGAAUUCGACCUGACAGAUAUUAAAAACAAGUGGCAUACAACAUGACCAAAUUUUAAAUCAAUAUAUACAUUAUACUAAUGCAGCUACGAGUCUGUGACAUUUGAAAUGAGCGACUAUUUCAUUAAAGCCAUUUACGGCAGAACUACAUGCCGCAUGAAACACAACAGGACUCGUUAAAAUGUCACAAAAUUAAUACGAAAACAUUUGACAGAGAGGAAAUCUCUGCGAAAGUGAUUUGCCUUCAUAAAAUAUCAUGGUGACACUUUGACUCUUGACGACAAAGAGAGCUACUCAUAGAACCAAUCCUGAAUCGAAAAUGGAGAGUUUUGAAAAUCACAUGAAAAAUUAGCCUACGAAGACACAUCAAAAUGUUGCACCAAGCAUAAGAUUCAAGUAUCCUUAGCUCGAAUCUGUUGUAUGUAAGUUAAGUGGAAAUAUCAUGACAAAUUGAUUUUUUUUUUUUCUCUUUGCGCCUAACUAGUAUUUUAUUGGUGGUCUAACUUUUUCAAUCUGUAUACUAUGUGUGAUGAAUAACAUAUAAAUUGAUUUAAAUUUUAGUCAUAAAUUAUACCAUUUGUACUCUAAUCUACUUGAGAUUAAUGAACGUCGUAUAUGAUAAAAAAAAAUUAUUAAUAUCAUUAUAUGGUGUCAUAUCCCAUGAUCAAACUAUAUAUUCGACCAUUAAUUUUCCAAUAUCAUUAUUUGAUAUAUUUACUUCUUUCCAUAAUCAUGGUCUAACAAUUUAUGUUUUUUUUUUUUUACUUUGGGGUUCUCAAUAUGAAGCCCAACUCAUAUUGGGCAUUCAAUGUUUAAAUCAUUCAAAAGCUUAAAUAAUCCCCAAUACGCAAAGAUAGACUCAUAUUCUCAUGGCCUUUUUUGACAUAACUGAUUUUUCAAAAGUUUUUGUAUAUAUAGACACACAUACACACAUAUAUUUUGUCAUGUGUGGAAUUCUGCAUCUUUUAAAACGUGAAUUUACAUAUUAGUUAAUUGAAAAAAGUUAAUAAAAACACUAAUGCACUAAAUGGCAUAUAUGUGCCGUCACACACGCCUACAACAUAAAAACUUAUCUUACAUUAUAUAUUUUGCGAUGCAUCUGAUCAGGGGUGGCUUUAGGUAUAGGCGAACAAGGCAGUCGUCUAAGGUCUCAUUUUUUUAGUAUUUUCUUAAUAAUUCUCUAAUUAAUAAAUUUUUUUAAUACGUAUUUUAAGAAAUUAAGAGUUAUUUUUGAUAAAAAAAUCUAUUUUCAGAAACUUUAAUUUUAAAGAAUAUAAUUAAUAAUAUUAUUUAACCAUUAGUUGAUUCAUUAUUAUUAUUUCCAAAAAAUUAUUUUCCUUUUUAAUUAUUCAAUGUUAGAAUUUUUGAUUUUUAGUAUUUCUUUUAAUUUCUAUUAAAAACCUUAUAAUCUCAAGAAUUAGUAAAUGAAAAAAAUUUCUUGUUCUUUUCUCUACAAAGAAAAUUAUUAUAUUCAUUGGUUCAUGUAAAAUAAUUAGUUUCUUAAAAUAUAAAGUCCAUUUUUGUUUUUGAACAUCAAUUCAUUAUUUCAAAAUUUUGUACUCUAUCAUUUUAAAUAUUCUAUUUAAAAAAAUAUUAUUUUUAUUUAUUUGUCUGUUUGUUUUUAACGGUUUUAAUGGAAUAAAAAAAUAUAUCUUCUUGACUAUUUUUUAGGUUUUAUUUUUAAAAUUUUUUAUCUUUUUUUAUUAUUAUUGAAAUUCAAAAAUUAAAGAUGAAAUAAAUUUUAAUUCUUUUUAUAUGUCUUUGAAUAUUGAAAUUACAAAAUAAAUAGAGGCCUCAUAAAAAAAUUUCGCCUAAGUCCCCUCAAACUCUAAAGCUGGCCUUGCAUCUGAUCAUAAUUUUAAAUAUAUAUAUAUAUAUAUAUAUAUAUAUAUAUAUAUAUAUAUAUAUAUAUAUCUUUCUUAAUUCAUAAAAAUAAUAAUAGUAACAAUAAUAAUUACAACAGCAACCAUAAUUUUUAGAAACGCGUGAACUUGACAUGAGAAGUCUGGACCUGUCUACCUUACAGAUUCUGUAACAUACGCCCCAAAUGCAUGCACCACACCUGUCCUGCAUAUGGAGAAAAAGCAUGCAAUUGUUCUUGUUUGGUAGCUAGCUAACCAAUCAGGAGCUGGCUAAGUUGGAUCUGUAUGUUACAGAAUCUGUAACUUAGCCAGCUCCGAGAAGUCCUCGUUCUUCUACGUGUCGGUCGCUUUAAAAGUGUUGGUCGUCGGGGGGCGUUCCAAAUUUCCAAUGCCGCGUUUCUCUAAAUCCUGUUAAAAUUAAUAAAUAAAUAAAUAAAGUAAGCCAUUGCGUUUGGUGAGGAAAAUUAAGAAAGCGAAAGAUAUUGACUGGAAUUGGACUGCAUGCAUGGAAACUGUUUCCAAUAAGUUCUGUCGCUUUUAAUAUUGAAGAACGUUUACUAAGAAAUUUGAGGUCAAGCUAGGAUGGGGAUGGAUGGAUCAUCCCAUUCCCACCAAUGCUAACUCAUUUACAAUUACCAGGAAAUAAAGCGACUUCACUUUGCCGACUUCCCCAUUGAAAUCUGAGAGCUUCCACCUAAACAAAUCGUGGAAAGAGACUUCAGAAGCUGCGCGGCAUCCGCAUACAAAAUUUACAGUAAGAAACGAAAUUGAACAUGUUUAUCUAGAUUUGUCCCUUUAUCUUCCAUUGCAUUAAUGCUAGAAGCCCAGCACGCAGUAAUUAAAAAUUUUCUUCCAUCGUGUCGAUUUCAUUUUAUGAAUAAUUAAUAGUUUUUUUAAACAAAUUAUUAGCGCUAAUUAAUUCAAUCACAUAGUUGUAUACUAAACUAUGAUAAGUUUAAAGCCUGCCUCUCACCGAGCAAGUGAAACUGCAGAAAACAUAGCGCAUUAACACUUAUACACCGUUCUGCUUAGUUUAUUCAAAUUCGUUAAUUGUGUCUUGGAAUUGGAGGAGCAAAGACGUCUACUCAGUACUCACAGAACCAAUCUUGAAUCGGAAAUGGAGAGUUUUAAAAAUCACAUGAAAAUUAGCUUACGAAGACACAUCAAAAUGUUGCACCAAGCAUAAGAUUCAAGUAUAUAUCCUUAGCUCGAAUCUGUUGUGUGUAACUUAAGUGGAAAUAUCAAGACACGUUGAAUUUUUUUCCCUUUGGCCUAACUAGUAUUAUAUCGUUGGUCUAACUUUUCCAUCUAUAUCCUGUGUGUGAUGAAUAACAUAUAAAUUGAUCUAAAGUUUUGUCAUAAAUUAUACCAUUUGUACUCUAAUCUACUUGAGAUUAAUGAACGUUGUAUAUGAUAAUUUUUUUAUUAAUAUCAUCUCUUUUGUUAUUCUAAUAAUCUAUUAUAUGCCAUCACAUCCUCUGAUUAAAAUAUGUAGUUGACCGUUAAUUUUACAAUAUCAUUAUUUGAUAUAUUUACUUGUUUCCAUAAUCACGAUUUAUGUUUUUUUUCUUCUGAAUUUUGGUGUUCUCAAUAUGAAACCCAACUCACAUUAGGCAUUCGCAAUUUAAAUAAUUUAAAAGCCCAAAUAGUCCCCAAUGCGCAAGGAUAAACUCAUAUUCUCAUGGCCUUUUUUGACAUAAUUGAUUUGUCAAAAGUAAGGGAUAAGAUAAAAGACAAAAAAAAAAAUUUAGAUUUCAAUACACUACAGAAUAUAUAUUGUAUAUUAGUUAAUUGAAAAAAUUAAUAAAAAUACUAAUGCACUAUAUGGCGUAUACAUGCCGCCACACACGCCUACAACAUAAAAACUUAUCAUGCAUUAUAUAUUGCGCGAUUGUGUGCACUUGAUCAUAAUUUUACGCGUUAUUUCCACCCAGCCCCCAAAUAUUUUGAUAUUUUCCACCGCGCACCCAAAUGUUUUAAUAAUUUCCACCUUACACCUAAUUCCGUUAAUUUGACCGUUAUUUUUAAUGAAAUUUAGUUAAAUAUCCUAAACGUCCCUUAUCUUGAAUUAGAGAAGAAUUAAAUGAGAUAAAAUUCUUAAUUAAAGAUAAUUAAUAAUAAUCCCAUCAAUUAAUAUAUCAAAUAAAUUUAAUUUAUUAUCAUCAAAUAAUAUUUAGGGCAUGAACUUCUAAAUUUUUUCUUUGACCAUUAGAAUAAACGGUCAAAUUAACAGAUUUGAGUGUGGCGUGGAAAUUAUUGAAAGAUUUGGGGACGCGGUGGAAAAUGUUAAAAUAUUUAGGGACAUGACGGAAUUUAACUUAAUUUUAAAUAUAAAUAAAUUUUUUUAUUCAAAGUAGUAGUAGCAAUGAUAAUAAUAAUAAUAAUUACAACAGCAAACCAUAAUUUUUAGAAACGCGUGAACAUGACAUGAGAUGAGAAGUCCUCAUUCUUCCGCAUGUCGAUCACUUUAAAGGUGUUGGUCGUCGGGGGCCGUUCCAAAUUUCCAAUGCCGCGUUUCUCCAAAUCCUGUUAAAGUGAAUAAAUAAAUAAAGUAAGCCAUUGCGUUUGGUGGUGAGAAAAAUUAAGAAAGCAAAAGAUAUUGACUGGAAGUGGACAACAUGUAUGGAAACUGUUUCCAAAAGUUCUAUCGCUUUUAAUAUUGAAGAACAUUUACUUAGAAACGUGAGGUCAAGCUAGGAAGGGGACGGAUCAUCCCAUUCCCACCGAUGCUAACUCAUUUACAAUUACCAGGAAAUUAAGUGACUUCACUUUGCCGUAUGGACUUCCCCAUUGAAAUUUGAAAGCUUACACCUCUUCAGAAGCUUCCUGGCAUGCGCAUGAAAAAUUUGCGGUAAGAAACGAAAUUGAACAUGUUUAUCCAAAUUUGUCUCUUUAUCUUCCAUUGCAUUAAUGCUAAAAGCCCAGCGCUGAGUAAUUAAAAAUUUUCUUCCAUCUUGUCGAUUUCAUUUUUAUGAAUAAUUAAUAUUAUUUUUAAACAAAUUAUUUUGGUGCUUGUAGAACUUAAGAUGCUAUAAACAGACCAAGCGACCUUAGAUCCUGCCCAAGAUCGCAAACCAAAUUCACCAAGAUGCUUCAAGAUUGAUUACUACAGAAUCUAACUAAGUUGAAUUAAUGGAAGUGAUGAUGAUUAACCAAACAGAAUUAAGAAAACAGAAGAAUUAGAAAGAGCAAGGAACAAGAAAGGUUUAACGUGGUUCAGCUAGAUCUCUCUAGCUUAACUCCACGGGAGGGCAAAUAUGACCAGCUUUUAUUGAUUCUCAAGAUGAUUUACAGAGCAAUGCUAUGAGCCUUAAUACAAGAUCCGGACUGCUUAUUUAUUCCAGCCCUAUCUCUCUCUACAGCUCUCUACACUUUUGAAUCUCUUGCACCAGAAUUAGCUGCUUCAUAACAACUUCAUAAUGAACCCAGAAUUACCCAACAACUCACGUGAGUUCCUCGUGCUUUAACGGCAUUUUAACGAACCUUGUGAGCUGGAUACAAGCACGUGAUGUUCGCAUGCGUUACUUAAAGGUAAACGGCAAGCUUGUAUGUUGUUCCGAGGAGCGUUUAAUUUGCUGAUCACAACGCACGUAUCUCUGUCGUUUGGCUUAAGUGAUUUCAGCUUCAAACGCAAGGUAUUCUGUCGUUUGGGCUUUCUGGGUUUGCUUUCACACACAACAGUGCUAAUUAAUUCAAUCACAUAGUUGUAUACUAAACUAUGACAAGUUUAAAGCUCGCCUCUCACCGUGCAAAUGAAACGGUAGAAAACGUAGUGCAUUAACACUUAUACACCGUGUUUGGGAGAAAUACGUCGAAGAGACCAGGCAUGAUGAGCAGAUAUCUGAUGGCAGAGUUCUGCGAACCGAUGUGUCCCGUAAGAGCCUGGUAUCCGGAGGAGCAGGAGCAGGAGCAGGAAUACUCUGCUCAUCCAUGAGCACGUCAUCCUCGAGGCUAAUCUCCUGUAAGAAGAAUAAAGCCAUUCCUGCUGUAUUCCUGCUAAGGGGUUUAUUCGAGGAGACCCGAUCAACGACAGUUGGCGAGGCAUGCUUUCCAAUCCGAGAAUCUAGGCACACGGGCCACGCAACCACCCACGACUACGAAAAUGGGGAAUCCACUUCCGAGAGGUGGGAGGAUAAUGGGCGCGAAUGGAGGGGAGGCUCGAGUUCAGAGGUGGCCUAUAAAAAGGUAACCAACGAAGGUAAAAGGGUUAGCAAUUUUGAGAUUAUAACAGAGAUAAAGGAAAUUCUAAAAAGAGAGAAAAACUACCACAAAGCCAUAAGAUUUGUGGCAAGCGUUCCCAGAGCCUUCAUACCUGACUUGAGCGUCGGAGGGUUUACGCCGGGAAAACAACCGGCGUGCUCUGACUUGUUUCUGUGGACGCAGGGAUACUUGGAGAAGAAAGCGUACGAGGAGAGAUCCUGAUCGAGGUAAGGUUGAUAGAGCAGACAUUUCGGAUCUCGGAUCAACAUUUGGCGCCGUUUGUGGGGACCUGAGCGAAAAGCUUCUGUUGAUAGCAAGAAGAGGAGUGAAGCAAGUGAAAAACAAUGGAGACAGGAGGAAGUAGUGCACAAGGGGAUAAUAUGAGGCUUAACGAUUCCGUGACGCUGAGAGAGAUAGCCAGUGAAGCACGGGAAAAAGCCAUGUUCGACCGAAUGGAACGAAUGGAAAAGUAGAUGGAGACCCUAACAACCAUCCUGCAUGAGCUGCGGAGUGAACGAAGGGUAACCCAGGAGGAAAGGGUGAGAGGUGGUGGAGUGGCACCAGGUCCCGAUAGUGCGAGGAGAAGUCAAACCGCUGGGAGAUUUGAUGGUGAGAGAGGUAAUAUACCUCUGCGGGGAGAAUUUCAUAGAGAGGAAGAGCAAUCCCCGACAAGACAGAUUUUUGACGAGGACGACAGAGUGGCGAGUGUAGGGGAAACAGAGUUGAGGCAGCACUUGCAUGAGGUAGAGCAAGAGCGGGAUCAAGUCGCAGCACGUGACCCUGGCCGUGCAGUGCAGCUGGAGGAGGAGGUGCGCAGACUAGCGCAAAUAAUUGACGACAUGCAAGGAAGGAGCAGAGCUCCUGGUUGGAAGAUAAUUCUGGACGGAGAAUCACCGCUUGCAACAGAGAUCAUGAGGGCAGUUAUUCCGAGAGAUUUCCGCCUCCCGGACCUUAGAUAUUCGGGACGAACUGAUUCGUUGGUGCACAUAGAGCGCUUCAACGACAUAACUGGGGUACAAGGAUUAUUUUAAUCCCAAAAGUGCAGAGUGUUCCCUCUAUCCCUUGAGGGACGUGCACGAGAGUGGUACAGGAAACUUCCUCGGGGGAGCAUUAAAACCUUCGAGCAGAUGUGCCAGGAAUUUGCAGAACAGUUUCGUGGGGCAAUGGAUCUAGAAGAUGACAUGAUGGAGUUAAAAAGCAUGAAGCAGGGGGAACAAGAAACACUUUGGGAAUUCAUCAAGAGGUUUCACCGUUCUGUCCUUGAUUUGGGAGCCUUCAACCAUCCUCAGGGAUUAAGGGGACUAAAAGAAGGGGUGAAGAUAGGAAGGCUGUGGUACAACUUGAGAAGCCCAGCUAUUCAGACGUAUGCAGCCGCAUACGAACAGGCCAAAAGAGACAUAGAGAUCGAGGAAGAAAAGGCCGCUCGGAUUAAAACAGACCAACUGGAAUGGUUGGGAAAGAGAGAGAAGAGGGCAUUACCAGGAAGUGGGCCAAUCAGGAGGAAGGAUUACCAGGCCUCAGGUAGUGGUGCAGGAGGACGAGUAACCACUUAUCAGCCUCAUCAGAGGCCACUAUAGUAUCAGCGCAGCAGGGCGCAGCCUCCUCGUUCCCCAGCUAGGGAGCCUUGGAGAAGGCAUGAUUCAGCAUAUGGUGGUCAUCAACACUCCCACGCUAGCAGAGGGAGCAUACCAGAAGUACUGCCACCGCCUCCAACUCAGAACGGAGCAAAUAGAGAAAGAGCAGUGCACCUGAUCGACCAGAACCAGAACUAUGGACGAUACACUUCCUUGAAGAUGUCCCUGGACGAGGUGUACGAGGCCAUAAAGGAUCGGGGGUUGCUAUACCUCCCUGCUCCAAUAACAAAGCUACCCAGCAGGAGGGAUAGGGGACGCUAUUGUAAGUUCCAUGACACACAUGGUCACACCACAGCAGAUUGCAAAGAUCUUAAGACCCAGGUUGAAGAUUUAGUGAAAAAUCGGUAUCUGGAUGAGUUUGUAGAUGGGUCCUUCCCAAUGGUAGCCUCAACAAGUGAAGGGGAACAGAGCGACAGCAACUUGAGGCGUGAGCAGCCUGUAGUAAGGGUUAUAGUUGGGGGCCCAACAUUGGCCGGAGAUUCCAACAGGUCGAGGAAGAAUUAUGCUAGAUACGCCAUGACCAGCAAAGAGGUAUUCUUCAACACCCCAGCAGCCAAACGUGCAAGAGUCAGGCAAGUGCCAAUCAUGUGGACAGAUGAAGAUGAAGAAGGGAUCCUAUACCCCCACGAGGAUGCCUUGGUCAUCAAGGCCACUUUUGCUAGCAAGAAGUUUGACAGGAUACUAGUUGACACAGGGAGUUCAGUUGAUGUGUUGUUUAAGUCAACCCUGGAGGAGAUGGGAAUAGCAGACCUGAAGUUGGAUUACACCAAUACCUCCUUGAAGGGGUUUGGAGGAGGAAAGCUGGUCCCUCUGGGCGUGGUCGAGCUACCUAUCACGAUUGGGAGCUCCCCGACAGAAAGGACAAUGAUACUGGACUUUGUGGUAGUAGAUGAAGAAGGUCCUUACCAGAUGAUCCUAGGCCGGCCAAUUCUGAGGAUGAGUAAAGCGGUGCUGUCCAACCAUUAUCUGGCUUUGAAGUACUGGGUAAAUGGGGUAGUUGGAGUGGUACGAGGAGACCAGAGGAUCGCAAGAAGCUGCUACUCCUCAACAGCAAGGGAAGCAAUGCAAAUAACAUCCCUCGAUACCCAAGUGGAAAAUAAGAAUGGCCGACAAGAACCUGUAGAGGAUCUGGAAACAGUAAGCCUGGGACCAGAGAAUCCGGGAAAGACGAUCAGAAUCGGGUCGAGACUUAAGGGAGAGCAAAAGCAGGAGUUGGUGAAAUGCUUACAGGCUCAUGCAGAUGUGUUUGCUUGGACACAUGAAGACAUGCCAGGGAUUGACCCUGAGGUGGCAUGUCAUAAGUUGGCAAUAAAGAAAGGUGCUCGGGCAGUAAGGCAGAAGAGGAGGUGUUUCAACCAGGAGAGGUAUGAGGUCAUAAAUGGCGAGGUGGAGAAGCUCUUGAGAGCAGGGUUCAUUCGGGAAGUCAAUUACCCCGAAUGGAUAUCGAAUGUGGUGUUGGUAAAGAAGGCAAAUGGCAAGUGGUGGAUGUGUGUCGAUUUCACAGACCUUAAUAAGGCGUGCCCAAAAGACAGCUUCCCUUUACCAAAGAUCGAUCAGCUAGUAGAUUCAACGGCUGGACACGGUCUGCUUAGUUUCAUGGACGCGUUCUCGGGAUACAACCAGAUCCCCAUGUACGAGCAGGAUGAGGAGAGCACAGCUUUCAUCACCAACCAGGUUUGUUCUGUUACAGGAUAAUGCCAUUUGGUCUCAAAAAUGCUGGGGCCACCUAUUAGAGGCUGGUGAACAAAGUCUUUAAGCCGUUGAUUGGAAAAACCAUGGAAGUGUACGUGGAUGACAUGAUCACCAAAUCCAAAAUCCCGAAGGAACAUGUCAGACACCUUGAGGAGACCUUCGGGCUUUUGAGGAAGUAUAAGAUGAAGUUCAACCCGGAGAAGUGUGCUUUUGGGGUCGAGUCAGGGAAAUUCCUUGGAUUCAUGGUGAGCCAUAGGGGGGUUGAAGCAAAUCCCGAGAAAAUCCAGGCAAUUGUGCAGAUGAGGUCUCCUCGUAACCUGAAGGAGAUGCAGAGCCUCACGGGGAGGUUGGCGGCGUUGAGCAGAUUCAUAUCCAAGGCUACAGAUAAGUGUCAACUAUUCUUUCAAGUGAUAAGGAAGGGGAAGAAAACAGAAUGGACACCAGAAUGCGAGGAAGCCUUCCAGAACUUGAAGCAAUACUUGCAGCAAACCCCACUGCUGUCCACACCGAGGGAUGGGGACAAGUUAUAUUUGUAUUUGGCUGUAUCGGAUCGGGCUGCUAGUUCUGUUCUGGUGAGAGAGGAAGAAGGAGUUCAGUAUCCGAUAUACUACACCAGCAAGGCCCUGCUCGACGCUGAGGCCAGAUACCCACCAUUGGAGAAAUGGGCACUUGCCCUUGUGGUUGCGGCUCGGAAGUUGAGGCCAUAUUUUCAAGCAUUCCCAGUCUCAGUAAUAACAAACCAGCCACUGCAUCAAACUCUGAACAAGCCAGAUGCUUCUGCUCGGCUCGUCAAGUGGGCUAUAGAGCUGAGCGAGUUCGACAUAGACUACAAACCCCGAGCAGCGAUAAAGGCUCAGGCAAUGGCCGAUUUCGUAGCUGAAUUCACAGAGCCCGAAGUAUGUUUAGAUCGACAAGAUGUAGUUACAGACAGUGGCGAAGCUCAAGUAUGGCAGAUGUCUGUGGAUGGGUCAUCAGGGGAACAGGGUUCAGGAGCAGGGAUUGUCUUGGAAGGCCUGGAAGGGGAGGAGAUCUCUUAUGCUGUAAAGUUGGAAUUUGCAGCCACAAAUAACCAAGCAGAGUAUGAAGCCAUGAUAGCAGGCUUGGAAUUGGCUAAGGCCGUGAAAGCAGACAGAGUGAAGAUCAGAACUGAUUCCCAGCUAGUUGCGAAUCAUGUCAGUGAAAGAUUUCAACCAAGAGAGGAGAAGAUGGAGCAGUACCUGAAGAUAGUCAGGCAGAUGAUGGGGAGAUUUGAAGCAGUGGAGGUGAUACAAAUCCCCAGGGAGCAGAAUAGUUGAGCAGACAUUUUCGCCAGGAUGGCAGCAGUAGCCGACCCAAAAAUGCCAAAGUCGGUCCCUCUGGAGGUGAAGUCCAGCCCAAGUAUCGAGCAGAAUUUGGGGGUGUUGCGGAUAGAACAAAAAUGCUCGUGGAUGGACCCGAUAUUUCAUACAUCAAAGACGGGGUAUUACCACCAGAUAAGCUGCGAGCUCGGAAGGUUAGAGCCCAGGCCUCGAGAUACACGAUGAUUGAUGGGGCACUGUAUAGGCGAGGAUAUACACUACCUUUCCUUCGAUGUUUGGAUGAGGAUGAUGCAGAUUACGUACUGAGAGAAGUACAUGAAGGAAUUUGCGGGAACCAUUCUGGUGGGAAGUCCCUGGCCCACAAGGUUCUAAGGCAGGGAUAUUUCUGGCCGACAAUGCACCAGGAUGCACAGGAGAAGACCAGGAGCUGUGUAAGCUGCCAGAAUUUUACAAGUUUCUCCAACCAACCACCAGAUAAGCUCACCUCAAUGGCCUCCCCUUGGCCAUUUGCUCAAUGGGGAAUUGAUCUGAUCGGCUCGCUGCCAAAGGGACGAGGAGCAGCAACGCAUGCAAUAGUUACUAUAGACUACUUCACGAAAUGGAUAGAGGUAGAAGCCCUUAGCAGGAUCACAGAGAAGAAAACAACAGACUUUGUGUGGAGAAACCUGAUCUGUCGCUACGGGAUCCCUUAUGCCCUGGUAACGGAUAAUGGCAGGCAGUUCGAUAAUCACAGCUUUAGGGAUUUCUGCCAGAACCUCGGGAUAGAGCUGAAAUAUUGCUCGCCUGCUCACCCCCAAUCGAAUGGACAAGUAGAAGCAGCCAACAAGAUCCUCAAGAGGUUUUUUAAAACCAGGCUUGGAGUAAAAAAAGGGGCAAGGGUUGAUGAACUGUCAGGUGUGCUAUGGGCAUACAGAACAACCCACAAAACAGCAACUAGGGAGACACCGUUCGCUUUGGCUUUCGGUCACGAAGCGGUCGUGCCAGCUGAGAUAGGAACGACCACACACCGGACAGACCAUUUCAAUGAGCAGGAGAAUGACGAGCAGAUAUGUUUGAAUCUUGAUCUGCUAACGGAAAAGAGGGAGCAAGCAGCCGAGCGAUCAGUCAUUUACCAGCAGAGGGUUGCCCGGUAUUAUAACCAGAAUGUGAACAUAUGGCAGUUCAAGGUCGGAGAUUGGGUGUUAAGGAGAGUGAAUCAGAACACCAAAAACUCGACUCAAGGAGUGCUCGGUCCGAAUUGGGGGGGGCCCUAUAGAGUCAAGCAGCUAGUUGGACCAGGGGCUUACAAGCUAGUUCGCAGGGAUGGCCACGAGGUGAAGCGUCCAUGGAACGCAACACAUCUUAGGAAAUAUUUUCAGUAAGAGUCGUUAACAUUUUCAAGUUCUUUCUGUUCGUAUUUGCUGUUAUUUAUUUUAUGCCCAAACAAUUUCAUGUAAGUUGAAUCCUGCAAUUAAUGGAACGUCGAGGAAUUUCACUCACUUGAAACUGUGAAAAUUUCUAAGGCAUGCAAAGGCUCACCAAGUCUCAAAGCCUGUUUAUGGCGAGACAGAAGCCAAGCGUGCCAGGAUCUGUUCGACCACGAGAAGGCGAGCAGAAUCCCUAAGCAUCGAAAAAUUUCUAAGGCGGGCAAAGGCUCAUCAAGUCUCACAGCCUGUUUAUGGCGAGACAGAAGCCAAGCGUGCUAGGAUCUGCUCGACCACGAGAAGGCGAGCAGAAUCCCCAAGCAUCGAAAAAUUUCUAAGGCAUGCAAAGGCUCACCAAGUCUCAAAGCCUGUUUAUGGCGAGACAGAAGCCAAGCGUGCCAGGAUCUGUUCGACCACGAGAAGGCGAGCAGAAUCCCUAAGCAUCGAAAAAUUUCUAAGGCGGGCAAAGGCUCAUCAAGUCUCACAGCCUAUUUAUGGGGAGACCAGAAGCCAGACGCGCCAGGAUCUGCUCGACCACGAGAAGGCGAGCAGAAUCCCAAGCAUUGAAAAAUUUUCUAAGGCAUAGGGCAAAACCAUAUGCCAAGCCAGAACCUACUCAACCAGACGAAGACGAGUGGAUUCUCAAACAGAAAAAUAACUCAUGAUAAUAACACAAGAAAAUAAUCAAAAACAUUGUCAUUUAUUUGUUCAUAAUUAACAGAGUAGAUAAUCUUCACAAACAUUGUUCAUUACAAUACAAGAAAUAUAUCAAGAAGAUGGCGGAUCAGUAAGCCGAGCAGCAUCGGUUGGCUGGACCUCCUCAGGUGUAGGGGGAGUAUCACCAGUUGCAUCUGGGGGGAUGCUUACCUCGCCAACGACAGCAGGGGUGCUCGCUUCUCCAACGUCAGCAGGGACUGCACGGGGAGAAGAAUUUGCCUCCUCAAUCAGGAUCGGCUCUAUCCCUUCGGCAUCUUCCUUGGCCGCCUCCUCAUUCAUAUGCUGAGCAACACCAACUGCAAGGUCAUCCAUCUUCAGAUCAGGAUGCUGCUUUCCGAGGACGGCCAUGAUGCAACGAUAGGAAUGCCGAAGUCCCUGGUUGUCGGCCUCCCUUUCCAGUUUCUCGACCUGAGCUUGGUGAGAAUCGCGGAGAGAUUCGAGCUGAGCCUCAUACAUAGCCCUCUGCCGUUGCAGAUCCUCCUUGACUUUGGUCAGCUUCUCCUCGAGGGUAGUGGCUUUUGCUUGAGCAAGUGAUUCUUGCUCUAUCAACUUGAGGUUCUCCAAAUUCAACUCCCCUGCUUUCUUCUCGGCAACGUCAGCUCUGGUCGUCGCCGAUUGAAUGUCCUCCUUCAUCUUCCGGUCGUAGCGCCCAACCUUGGCCUUGUAAUAGGUGGUCAUGCAGCUGAGGUGAAAAGCGCUAUACUGCAUGGCCCCCACCAGCUCACCCAAGGUGCAGCCAUCGAAGUCCUGCAGGUCCUUCUUGCUCACGAGUUUAGAUAACUCAUUGAGAUAGGAGACCAAGUGUUCUGCUCGACUGUCAGGUAAGCGAGACCGAGGACCGACAAGAGAAGAAGAAGAAGCAGGAUCUGUGGCUGCUCUACUAGUUUCCCCGACUUUGGCGGGAGCAGGAGGUAAAGUCUUCAAGGGAGAGACCUGCUGCACGAUGUUGGCCCGCUUUGCAGUAGGGGCGUCCUUACUCUGGUCCCCCUUAGUGGUUGGAGGUCGAGAACGUUUCCUGGUAAGAGCCCCAAUCACAGCGUCCUCCAUCCUAUGGCCAGGAAGUAUCAAGCGAGACUCGAGCAAGUUGUAUGUAGUUAUCAGUUCUCUACUCGAGCAGGAAUUGGCUAGGACAGCCUCUACCCGUUUGAGCUGGUCAGGUUUGAGCGGGAAGUGGACACCCCAAGAACCUGCAACACAAACAAACAUCUGAUUAGAGACAAACCAGUAAAGUGCAAACAGCAAGGGAGACAAGACAUCUAAUACGAGCAGGCAACUUGGGACCACGAAACGGGUUGGGACGCGGAAGUCCUUCCCAUCAACCUACGCAACUUGACCCCAGGGACCCCCUGCAAAAAAGAACUUCCUCUUCCAAUUCCCACCACCCCCAGUAGGGAGAUCAGUUAUAGGUUUCCUGGUCUUGGUACUUGAUUGGAAAUAAUACCAGCCGGCGUCUUUGGGGCUGCUUUUCAGCUGGUACAGAUGCUUCACCUCGUCGACCGUGGGCUCACUUUGGCAACAUCUGUUCCACAGUAUGAACAGACCAGAAAGCACUCUCCACCCGUUGGGGUUCAGCUGACCAAGAGAUAGAUUUAACCCGUUAAGAAUCCGGGCAAAGUAGGGUUGCAAGGGACACCUCAGCCCGUGCCUAAAACUCUCCAAAAAAUAGGGUAACAUAUCCCCUAGGAGGCCGGCUAAGGGUAUCUUUCUUUCCUGGGACCCUAAGAAGUACUUCACCAGGAAUGUUAUACCUAAGCCGGAGGUCAGCGAGCUCGUCAAACGUGGUCGUGCACGUCAUAUAAUCAAUGGCAUAAUCACGCGACAAGGCUCUACCCUCUACUGUACCCCGCUCUUCUGGUCGUGAGGUUCCAGAUGGGGAUACCUCGCCAGAGUCACCUUCACCAUUCUCACUCAAGGUGUCUUCAGAGCUAGAAGAUCCCUCCUCACCAUUACUUCCGCUCGUAGAGGUUGUUUGAGGGGACAUCCUCCUAGCACUAGUCCCCACACUAGACCUAAUGGGUUCUAAGGGGAUCCCGGGGUCAAAAGCAGGAUCUGUAAGCAAACUAGGCAAGAAAUCUAGUUCGUCGUCAUCAAUCUCAACAACUUUCUCCUUACCCUUCGACAUUCCCUAUGUAAUGACCAAAACACCACCACCAACUACUACCCCAAGUAAAGCAAAGAAAAAGAAGUUAUCUACAAACUAUCCGAGACCGAGGAGAAAGAAGUAAUACUUGAAGUACUGUUUCAGUCGGAGAAAGGCAAGGAUGGGGGCUUUUAUGCCGAAACUUCUUCGCCGGAGGGACAGGGACAGAGACGAUGGAAAUGGCUAAUUCCCCUUCAAGAGGUUUUGGGUUAUCUUAUUGGAAGAAAAACUCUUGGAUAGCCAGCAUUUAACAGCACCGAAUCCCAAGGGUCUCGUAACCAUUGGUUUGAAAUUCAAAUGGAGGGGUGGAUCUCUGCCACAUCACCUCAUCCGCAAUUAAAUGCGACACGACUCUUGGCAGCCUUUUCUAAUCCCACGCGAGCAAGUAUUGUCGAGUUUCUACUGCUGGUCCACUACAUUACCCAACACCAGAAAUUGGGGGACCGGUGUUUGGGAGAAAUACGUCGAAGAGACCAGGCAUGAUGAGCAGAUAUGUGAUGGCAGAGUUCUGCGAACCGAUGUGUCCCGUAAGAGCCUGGUAUCCGGAGGAGCAGGAGCAGGAGCAGGAAUACUCUGCUCAUCCACGAGCACGUCAUCCUCGAGGCCAAUCUCCUGUAAGAAAAAUAAAGUCAUUCCUGCUGUAUUCCUGCUAAGGGGUUGAUUCGAGGAGACCCGGUCAACGACAGUUGGCGAGGCAUGCUUUCCAGUCCGAGAAUCUAGGCACGCAACCCACGCAACCACCCACGACUACGAAAAUGGGGAAUCCACUUCCGAGAGGUGGGAGGAUAAUGGGCGCGAAUGGAGGGGAGGCCCGAGUUCAGAGGUGGCCUAUAAAAAGGUAGCCAACGAAGGUAAAAGGGUUAGCAAUUUUGAGAUUAUAACAGAGAGAAAGGAAAUUCUAAAAAGAGAGAAAAACUACCACAAAGCCAUAAGAUUUGUGGCAAGCGUUCCCAGAACCUUCAUACCUGACUUGAGCGUCGGAGGGUUUACGCUGGGAAAACAACCGGCGUGCUCUGACUUGUUUCUGUGGACGCAGGGAUACUUGGAGAAGAAAGCGUACGAGGAGAGAUCCUGAUCGAGGCGAGGUUGAUCGAGCAGACAUUCUGGUCGUUGUAAGGGCAUAACCAGAAUCUCGCAUCAACACACCGUUCUGCUUAGUUGAUUCAAAUUCGUUAUUUGUAUCCUGGAAUUGGAGGAGCAAUGAGUAGUGAAGAAGCUUCAAUUUUCUCAACUUUUCUGUUUUGUCUGUUGACGUUUGUAUUCAGCACCAGUGAAAUUGAAGCAAGAAAACUUGAAGUAGAAAAGUGUUCUUCUUCUUGUGGAGAUGGCAAAAACAUAAGCUACCCUCUUCACCUCAAGGGCGAUCCAGCUGGAUGCGGUCAUCCGGGGUUAGAACUUUAUUACGAGAGCAACAAAACCAUCUUAGAAUCUAAUUCUGGAAAGUACUAUGUGAAGAGAAUUUCCUAUGAUAAGAGUACAAUCAGUGUUGUCGAUGCUAACUUAGCCUAUGGAAGCUGCAGCUUCCCAUCCACUUCUUUUUCCCCACCUGGUUUAAUUUUCAGAUAUUAUUUUCAUUACAAUCUUAAUUCAUACGCCUAUUACGUGAAUUGCUCGAGUAAUAUUGUUGAUCAGGCGUAUGCGAAAGUUCCAUGUUUGAGUAACAAUUAGUCGAAUGUCUAUGUUUAUGUUGCACAUGAUUUCAUCGAAACCACACAUCUUCCAGACUCAUGCGCCUUCAUUACAAAGGUUCCUGUAGUACUUAAUGGGAGCGUGGACAAACCUUCUUAUGAAGACCUCCGAAAAUUGCUGGAGUCAGGGUUCGAUCUUACAUGGUCAGAUUGGAGCUGGAGCCUCCCAAUGACUCACUGUAAGCUUAUGCUUAUAUUUAUUUAUGCAUUCAAAUGCAAGGGCUUUGUUUUUGUUUUCCAAUAUUCUACGUAAUAAAGAAUUUGUGAACUAUCUCUAAGAGCAUACCGAUAUGACCUUUAAUUUCUGUUUCUUUUUCGCUUUUGCAGUCUUUCCUGAAUGCAAUGAUUACUAUGAAGGAAUAAUCAGAAAAUUUAUUUGCUACCAAGAUGACAUACGUAAGUAGAUCCUUACAUAUCAUUUUGCUUAUGGGUUUUCGAUGUUAAUAAAUGUGAUGGCUUUAUGUACUCUCUAAUCUUUUACUUUCUAACUUUUUUCUAAAUCAUCUCUCUGAUUAGAUAUAAAGCUUAAUUUUUUCUAUCUCCAACUGCAGUUUUCCAUGAAAUCUCGCGGCGUUCCUACCGUAACAUAGAAUCAAGACUGGGGGUUUGGAUAAGUUUUUUGUUAGGUAAAAUCUCCUCUCCAGGAUCCUCUUUUUAUUGCUUUGCUUACUACUAUUUACUUUCAAUAAACGUUCUCUUUACCAGGGUUUCCAGUUGAUGUUCUGAUAAUUGGUAGAUUUAUUCUUGCUCCAAUAGUCCUUCUUGUGUUCCUUAUCCACAAAUACAGAACGACAUUGCAAACAGUUGAUAAUAUUGAGAAAUUUCUGCACAACCAGCAAUCGUGGAUGCCUAAAAGGUACUCUUACCCUGAGAUAAUUGCCGUGACAAACCACUUCACUCAUAAAUUAGGCCAAGGUGGCUUUGGUUCAGUUUAUAAAGAACAACUUCAUACCGGUCACUUGAUUGCUGUUAAGAUGCUGGAGAACUCCAAGUUCAGUGCGGAGGAAUUCAUCAACGAAGUUUCAACAAUAGGUAGAAUUCACCACGUUAAUGUGGUCCAGUUAUUGGGGUUCUGUUCUGAGGGAUCCAAACGUGCACUUGUCUACGAGUUUAUGCCUAAUGGAUCACUCGACAGGCAUAUCUUUCCAAAGGAAAAUAAAGGCCAAACUUUUGGUUGGGAGAAACUCCAGGAAAUUGCCUUAGGAACAGCUCGUGGGGUCGAGUAUUUACAUAACGGAUGUGAUAUGUGCAUUCUGCAUUUUGACAUUAAGCCUCACAACAUCCUACUAGAUCAUAAUUUCAUCCCAAAGGUCUCAGAUUUCGGCCUUGCAAAGUUUCAUCCAAAGGAAAAUGAUUUUGUGUCCAUCAGUGCCACAAGAGGAACCAUAGGAUACAUAGCACCUGAGCUGAUUUCAAGAAAUUUUGGAACUGUUUCUUGCAAGUCAGAUGUUUACGGUUUUGGGAUGGUGUUGCUGGAAAUAGCUGGAGGAAGACGAAAUUCUAAUAUGAACGCAAUUCGUUCAAGCAAAGCAUAUUUCCCAUCUUGGGUAUAUGACCAAUUAAAUAAGGGAGGUGAUUUAGAGCUUCGGAAUGUGAUUGAAAUUGAGUCUUUGAUUGCAAGGAAACUGUGUAUGAUUGGUUUAUGGUGUAUUCAGGUGAAGGCAGCUGAUCGCCCCUCCAUGACAAAAGUUUUGGAAAUGUUAGAAGGGAGUAUGGACGAUUUGCAAAUGCCUCCUAAACCUUGCUUCUCUUCUUCUCGACAUAUCUCCGGAAGAGAGAUUGAAUCAGAUUCUUCAACAGAGUUCUUAGUGUCUGAAUGGAUUGAGGAAUGUUCUUUCAAUGAUAGUUAUGCUUAGUUUUGGCAAUGAUAUGUGUAAAAAAGAAAUAAAUUGUCCUUAUGCUACCAGAGCUUCUAAAACAUUAUGUUGAAAAAUUUCAGUACGAUUCGUUGUUUGAUGUGAAGAUUCCAAUUUUGCUCAUAUCGACCAGAAUAUGAUGUAGGUUUGUCACGUGAUCAUGUACAUUCAUCAACCUUUUGCAACGCUGCUUGCUGCAUAUCUAAUUGAGCUAGAGUAUGCUUUGAACUCUGUGCUCCUGCUCAACUUAGUUUAAAGUACAAUUACCAAAGUAUAUGGGAGACACCUAAAUAUCACCACACAUCCACUUUUGCUUAAUAGCUAAUAAUUCAAUCCCACAACAGUGGUAAAUUAAAAGACACAUAGUUCCCAUCAAUCCUAAACAUACCCUUAGUCUCACACUGAUAUAUCAUGGUAAGCGGAGGGUAGCUGCUAGGAAUUACCGGUUUUCUAAAGAACGUUACUUACUGAUCUUAAAAACAUAAUUUUCUCAUUUCCUACCUACAAAUUACUUUCAUAACUCUCACUAAAAUCUAUAUCACAAACAGCAAGUCCCAUCAUGUUCCUCCAUGCAUCUGAUAUAGGCAGAUACUGAAGUUGACUAGUCUCUUUGGGGCUACCAUUGACUUAGAAAAAGGAGAAAAGAAAGAAGGAAAGAACAGAAGAAAUUAAAAGAAACCCAUUUUCCUACCUUUUUCCAUGACAAAUUAACAAUCAAACUCUCCUCUCCCUUAUUACUCCAAAAGCAUAACUCAAACUCAGCUCUAACUCAAACUCCGCUCUCCCUCUCCCUCCAUGUCCCUCGUGAUGAGUUUAAUAAUCCUCUUCCUCUUCUUACCUUACACAUGUACAUUAGCCAAAGCUUCUGCAGAGGACAACAAAACAGAUAACUAUGAAUUCUGUCAACCAACAAAUUGCAGUAAUAGGAGCCCAAGUAUCAGAUAUCCCUUCAGACUUAAAACUCAACCAACAUCUUGUGGCCUUGAAGGGUUUGAAUUGUCAUGCUUAAGUGACAAGACAAUCUGGCAUCUUCCUUCCUCUGGUGAUUAUUAUGUCCAUGAAAUUUCUUAUCUGGACAGCAGUAUUACCAUUACAGAUGUGAAUGAGACUGCAUGCCCGUUUCAAAGUCUUAUCUCAUUCAACCUCACAAGCUCCAAAUUCUUUUUUCUUCCCUUUAAUGACAGUUUCGCUUUAUAUAACUGCACUGAGAAGGCUGCUUCAGAACGGACUCCUUUUGAAGCAAUUGGACCGAUCAAUUGUCUCGGCAGCAAAAACAAUCUUGUGUAUAUCAUAUAUAGCGGAUAUUUAAUGGAGGAAAUGCCUCCAUCUUGCAGAAAAUCUCGAACAGUUGAGAUUCCUGGUGGAUUACCUCUGCAGGAUGUUGCUACGACGGCCAGGGCAAGACCAGUAGUCUUAGGAUGGGAAGCUCUUGAUGGAUGCUACCACUGCGAAAAUUCAGGGAAUUAUUGUGGGUUCAACACUACAAGCAAUUCGACAAUCUGCGUUUAUUGUGGGUUCAAUACUACAAUCAAUUCGACAAUCUGCGUUGCCGUUAAACACCAAAAACGUAAGUAGCCAUACUUUUCCGCAGUCACCUCUCUCUACAGUGCUUGAAAGUGAAAGCAUCGUCUCUAUUUAGCUAACAAUAAAAAUAAUAAGUUGAAUUUAUUAUCAUUGUUUUAUACGCCGGAAAAGUGAUCAGAGCAGUAUAAAUGAAAAUAAUAAUAAUAAUAAUUAGGCUUUGCAUUAUUUUUUUCGAUUGUAAAAGUGUAAGUACAAUUGCUAGAAAGUAAAAAUUAAAGAAGCCAUCUAUAUUAAUAGGGGUGGGCACUGAGCAAAGGUUAGAUAUAGUUGAAUUCCGAUGGUCAGUUUUUUAAAAAAAUAAUAAUUUAAACUGAACUGAAAGUCCAAUCAAUUUGGUUCGAUUUAGUUAGUUUUUUUUUUUAAUUUGCCCUGUAAUUUCUUUUGCGUUUUUCUAGUUUUUUUUAUUUUUUAUUUUCUCUCAUGUAAAUCGAUGGAUUUUUUUUUUUACUAAAAAAAAACUGACGAUUCUUUUUUUUGGCGGCAAAUAUAAUUUUACCCACCCCUAAUCUGUAUGGCGAAUAUCAUUGCUAUAAAGGCUGCAUUCCAGUAUUAUUGCCAGUUGUAGAGUGGUCGAUAAAAUGUUGCUAGCCAGGCUGAUUUGACUGUUUGAACAAAAACUGAUACCACUCAGGACCUACUACUCAGGACCAAAUAGAUAGUACUAUUUUUUCUGUAUCUCGUCAAUUUAAUCUUGAAUCUUUACAUUACAAUUAAUUUUUGUUAAUGGUGAGAGAUUGAUUAAACUUACAAUGCCUGAUAAAAGUUUAAUCUAUUAUAUUUUCUUGCGUCCUCAAUGAAUACAAAUUAAGAAGAAUUAUUAUACUACUACUUUUUCUCUAUGAUUGUCUUUGUCAACUUUUUAUGUAAGAGCCAAUAUACGUUCAUGAUGGCAAAUUUGUUGAGAAAAAAAAUUUAUUUAAUCAAGUGACCCUCAAUAUUCACAUGGAAUAAGAGAUGAGGGAAAAAAAAAUCAUUUUUUGAAUGCAGAAAGGCAAAAAAAAUGCAUAAUGACAGGGAUUUCUAAUUGUGAUCAUUUUGGUGUUUUCAUUGUGUACUCAAGUAAAAGUUAAAAUUUUAAAAUUGAAGUGUGUAAGGUUAAAGAGUGCUUACUUUGCAGUUCAAAUAAUUUCAUCUUCUGCUUAUUAGUAUUUUUUCAUUAUUUAGUUAAAUGACAGCCUAAUUAUCUAUCCACCCAUGUGAAUAAGAUAUAUAAUUAUCAUUUAAGUUAUGGACAAAUACCUAUAUGAGAUGGUCACAUGAGAGGGACUUGUUAAAACCCAAUCAAAUAAUAUUGAGUCUUUAUGCUACCAAGUUAAGCUUGCACGGGUCCAAACUUUUAGCAUCUCAUUUUAUUGUUUGAGUUGAUUUUUUAACUAACUUUUAGCAUCUCAUUUUAUUGUAACAGAUGGUCCUGGCCCUUUAUCUAUAAGUCUAAUAUCCACAGGCACAAGCAUUGGAGGCAUCACCCUCUUUGCAUUAGUGAUAUUUCUCAUUUACAGAUCAAGAGAAUCUGAAAAAGAAAAAGAGACUCAACUGAAGGUGGAGAAGUUCCUCGAAAACUACAGGACCGUCAAUCCCACCAGAUAUACUUACAAAGAACUCAAGAAAAUAACAAGCAGAUUUAAGCACAGGCUCGGUCAAGGAGGUUACGGAAGCGUGUUCAGAGGAAAGCUCUUCAACGGAAUUCCAGUUGCUGUCAAGAUGUUGGAACAUUUAAAAGGAAAUGGACAAGAGUUCAUCAAUGAAGUGGCCACAAUUGGCAGGAUUCAUCACUUCCACAUUGUUCGGCUUCUGGGAUUUUGCUCUGAAGGAAACAGGCGUGCUCUUAUUUACGAGUUUAUGCCCAAUGGAUCACUUGAGAAAUUCAUCUUCUCAAAGACAAAUAGCCCAAGUCAUCGUCAAUUGAGUUGGGAGAAGCUGAGGAAGAUUGCAUUUGGCGUUGCCCGUGGAGUGGAGUACUUGCACCAAGGAUGCAACCAGAGGAUCCUGCACUUCGAUAUCAAGCCUCACAAUAUAUUAUUAGACCAUAAUUUUCAACCGAAGAUUUCAGAUUUUGGACUGGCUAAGUUGUGCUCAAAGGACAUAAGCAUUGUAUCUCUGACAGCUGCCAGAGGCACUUCUGGCUACAUUGCACCUGAACUUUUCUCCAGGAAUUUUGGUGAGAUCUCUUACAAGUCUGAUGUUUACAGUUACGGAAUGAUGCUGUUAGAGAUGGUCGGAUGCAAAAAAAAUAAUGAUCCUGCGGUUGAAAUUCAGAGCCAAAUAUAUUUUCCGGAGUGGAUUUACAAUAGAAUGAGGCAAGGACAAGAGCUCUGUUUGGAAUUUGAGGAAGAUGGGGAUGAGGGAAUUGCCAGAAAGCUUGCAAUUGUGGCACUUUGGUGCAUUCAAUGGAAUCCCACGGAAAGACCUUCCAUGCCAAUUGUAUUACAAAUGCUUGAAGCUGAUUUACAAAGCUUGGAGAUCCCUCCAAUGCCCUUUGUCUCUGCUGAUGUUGAGGCAGGUGCAA